rnacentral:lncRNA from 1 species
ACACAAAAGUACCUAACACACACAUUCAUAGUAAAAAACCGAAAGAAAGCAUUAUAAAAAAAGGCUUAAUGAGGAAGGUGCUGUAUGGUAUCUAGUAGGGGUGUAAAUGGUUCUGUUCGGCUUGAUUUUAAUGGGAAACCAAAAUCAAACCACAAUAUUACUAAGAAGUCCAAGACUGAGCUGAACCACCAGCAUAUCAUUACCGAACCAACUAACUGUUGGUCGGUUUGUUCAGUCAAACUGGUUGUUCACAUGUCUACAAUACUGUCAUGCACGUGGUUACUGAGAAUUGGUGGAGGACAGAAAUCCAAUAUAUUAAACAAAAUAUUGAAUAUACUGCUGCUUGAACUCAACCUGGCUUAUAUCAGUCUUACUCCAACGCCAAAUAUACCACCAACACAAUUUGAGAAAAUAACUCAAACGUUAUAUAUAUUAUAAUUGGUCAGUUCAGUUUGAAUUGGUUUGUUCUUUGCCAAAUUCAACCUGACUGUAAGUUUUUGGUUUUUUAAAUUUCAAACCAAAAAUGCCAAACCAACCAGUUUCAAUCUGAACCAACAAGCGGUUUAAAUCGGUUUAAGAUUUUUUUUUUGGGUUUGUCCUUGCACCUCUGGUACCUAGCCGUAUUCUCGCUCCGCACUACCUCCUAGUUUGACCUCACAUCUAAAUGGGUCAAAUGUGACCAAAGCAAAAUAGGACUCCAAUGGAAUUUAAUUUGUUGCUUUAUCAACAAGAUGCAGAUGGUUGAACUAAAACUUCCUGCAGGAUUUUUAUUAUUGCUGUUCUUGUUGCUGUUGUUCUCUCUCUCUCUCUCUUUCUCUCAUACUCCCUCUCUUUCUCUCUCCUCAGUUAUUAUUAUACAAUUUAUUCAUACGGAUAGCUUCCCAUGAAGAAGAUACAUCCGUAUGAAUCAAUUGCUAAGUCUUUGGUUGAGUGGGAACGGGUAAACAUAAUACAUUUUGCUGUUACUACAUAUUCGGAACUGGAUGCUUACCAAGUCAAUUUCAUCUUAGCGUUCGAAAAUUUGCAAUUAUAUGAUGAUAUUCUUAACAUUUAAUUGCUUCAUGCAGACUGUGAAGGCAUAUCUCAGACGGGGAACUGCCAGAGAGUCUCUUCUUCUCUAUAAAGAAGCCAUCAAAGGUGAGAGUUAUGAUUUUUUCACUAUUAGACUUCAAACUGUUUAUAAUUCAUCUGAAGAUGGAUUGUUCAUGUUCUAGCUCUGCUCUUUCUUUGCCUGUAAGCGUAUGUAUGCAUUUUCAUAACUAAAAAUAAAUAAUCUUUGGACAAUCCAUCAUGAAUGUUGAAUGCAAUCAAGUUAAAAGAAAUUAUACUCACAUAGAUUGAUUUUGUGCAUCUAGUAGAACUUUUGGCUAAUCAUUUAGUUGUAUAGUAUUCUUUAGAACGCUGAAAAUUUCUUAGAGUGAAACUCAUUACGAGGUUUUUAGAGAGAGGUUUGAAUACUCAAUACGAGUCUCCCCUGAAAAAGAGAACAGGGAUGUCAAGUCUUGUCAUUGUAGGCUAUUAGUGGUUUGGUUUUAUUUCUGUAAUAACGUCUUCAGAUGCAUAUUCAUGAUUCACAUAAGAUAGUCGUUAACUUAUCACUUUUCGUACGGUUGAGUUUGUGUGCAUUCAUAUUCUGAUAUGUUUUCUCUAUUAAUGAAAGUGUGUUUCGGUACAUGUUCAAUAAGUAUUUGCUUUUCUGUCUCAUAACUUUUGCAGAUUUCAAGCAUGCUCUUGUUCUCGAACCACAGAAUAAAGUUGCAAAUCUUGCUGAAAAGCGAUUACAAAAACUGAUCAGUUGAGGAUGCAACUCUUGUAUGGAAAAUGAAAAGGAAAACCCAAAUUAUACGACUCCAAGCUAAGAAGAAAAUAUAAAAAUAAAAAGAACAAAAGUCAAGGUGAUAUAGGCAUUGUAAUUGUGAAUUGUGGAAUGAAAGUGAAGGGUAGAGUUGGAAACGAGUCAGAGCCUAGCGGCUGCUCUGCCAAUUUUGUUGGUAUAUAUGAAACUGUAGUCAGCCUUAUUUUGGCACAAGACCUUGUAGAAUAAUUAUCCUUUUGACCGUCCAGAAUUUCAAUUGGGAUUCUGGGUGUUUCUUUAGUGUUGUGAAAUAUUUUAUUUUCAUCUUUUUCUAUUCGAGUUUACCGUUAUCCUUUAUGCUGAUUCUCGAGAACUGUUGGGAGAAAGAUGACAGAAAGGAUCGAAAGUGUGUUUUGAAAUUGAGAUUUUUUUACCUUUGCUAAUGUCGAAUUUAGAUGAAAUGACCGAAAUAGAACCUCGAGCAUGUAAAUUGAGCUUUCUUGCUCUUAGUGUUAGUUUAAACAUCUCGUUCAACAACUUGAUGAAGGGUGAAAGAAUUUUAUGGAUAAUACUUGUGCUCGGUAUUUGGAAAUUAGAACAGUUGAAAUCAUAUAUAAAUAUUUUGAUAAUUAAGAGAAUUAACUUUUCUCUCCAAACAAUUUCAAAGUAUUGUUUUAGAAUGUACAAUUAGAUUUAGUAGAAAUGCAAUUACAAAGUAAAUAUUUUCUUGUGUACAUCAAACACCUCUGAUGAAGAGAGUUGUGGUUCCUGCUCAAAAACAUCAAAAUAUCCAAAAAAAAAAACAGAAAUUAUGUUAGUUCUAAAACAACUAUAUAUCCAUUGUGAUUUUUUUUUUAAAAGAGUAGAAUGAUAAAUAGGGAAAAGAAUAUGACCUGAAUUUUUUUAUAACGAAGCAAUUUUCUUAGAAAAGAACAAGAGAAACAUCCUUGUUUGUUGGCCCUUUGAACAGUAUCAUGCAUGUAUUGAAGCAGACGUCCGUACGUCAAAUCUCCAAAAGUCUUUACCAAAUGAAUCAAAAUAAAUGUCAUUGCUCCAUUCAUUGUCUUCCCUGUUAGUAUCUGCAUUAUAAUAUAUACACAUAUCAUUCUCCUGUUAUCAUCACCUUCUACUUCCAUGUAUGUAUUUUCAUUCGCAUGAAGUUCUAUUGGUAUGUGACAUUUUAAGUGAAACUAAAAACAAAAGUCAUGAGAGUCAUUAAUGCCAAUAAAUUGAACUUGUCACGUUAUUUUGUGGGGUGGUUGUCUUUAAAAAUUGGUAUCAACCACUGUUAAAAGCUCUAUUGUACAGAGGGUGCGCUUAGAAAAAAAGAGUUAAAGACCGAUGGUAUCAAGUAGCUUUUUGUUUUCUAAACCCAACCUAAAAGUAUAGGGAAGUAUAAGACAGCCACGACAAACUACUAUAUGUAUCUACACAAAUAUGAUACAUACAAGUAGUACUCUAUCUUGAUCCAUCUUAUCGUGAUCGAUCUCAUAAUAGAUGGUGAUAUUUUAUUUUAAGAAUAGAUGGUGAUAUUUUAUUUUAAGAAGUUUCGUCAAUUAAGAAGAGAAAGCAAGAAAAAACGUAAAAGAAGAUGAGGAAUAAUAUGUGGUCUUACAGAAGUAUCAGCAGCAAAUUGAUCAUCUCCACAAGCACUCAUAGAAAUUGCCAAUCCACCACUAGUCUCCUUCCUCGCCCCUGAUGGCGGCCUAUUAUCCAACCACUCAUCUCUUCUCCACACACACAAAAGAGAAAAAAAUGAAACCAAACCAAAAUCAAAAGAAAAAGAAAAAGAGAGAGAGAGAGCGUCAUCCAUCAAAACCUGUCGCGGUCGUAAACAUAGGCAAGAUCGAGAAUCGUUCCGCUAUGGCAGGCAUCGACAAUGGCGUGGAGAGUGACACCGUUCUUUAGAGGCGAAACAAUGGUGGCAUUGAUCUCAUUAUCGGUUAUCAUCCCUUCCUCCAUGAAGUCAACUGGACAUAUAGUCUCAUCGUAGCCAUCGAGCUCGUCCAUGUCGAAAUCUGGCUGUCGUAGUCCAUGGCCGGAGAAGUAGAACACAAGAUUAUCGCCCCCAGUGCAACCUUCAACUAGCCAUUUUAGACCGUUUUGGAUGUUCUUCUUUGUUGGCAUUUGCUCGGGCUUCGUUUCAUCCUCUGUUGAGGUAAAACAAUAUUAAAUUUUCAUCAACAUUUUCAUUAUAUCAUACAACACACUUGUAUAUGAGUUCAAAGUUCGACAUAAUAUAUAUAGCCACAAAUUUCUCUUUCAAUAGGUAAAAAUGGAAGACACCAAAAACAAAAAUAGAUUUCAAAGACCAUUUAUGAAUUAAAGUAUGAAUUGGAUAUAUAGUAUUAGGAUUGUAGUAUGAAACAAUACUAAAGAGUUAAUACCACUUUAGACCUAAAAUCAUGUGAUUAAUUUACAAAAUAUGACUCUUGUAUUUAGACUUACUACUCAUUUGGUAUGUGUAAUCAACAACUCUAACUCUUUAAAUUUUUUCCUAUUUAUAGAAAUAACUUCACAGCAUGGAGAUUAUGUAAUGCUUACUUUCAAACUAUUUGUUUAUAAAGUAGUAAUAUUCUUUGUUCUUAACAUUUUAUCUAUCUCACAUCUUUCCUCAACUAUAAAAAAAAUACCAUGUAAUUGACAUAAACGAAAAGAGAGGGAUUUGAACCCUCGGUACAAAAAAAAUCGUACAAUGGAAUAGCAAUCCAACGCUUUAGUCCACUCACUCAUCUCUCCCCAAAUGGAAAAAGGAUAAUUACCUACUAUGAUACAUUGUACAAAAAUUAGAAAAUAAAGUCUUGGGAAAAAGCCCUCUAUUAUCUCCCCUUUGGUACAUAUAGAUAUAUAAUUAAUAGAAAAGAUGCUUAGAUGACAAAUAAUAGACAGAAGAAGAAGUAUCAUAUUCUUGUUAGUAUUGACUAUUGAGAUUUUCCUUUUUAAUUGAGGGUUUAGAUGAGGUGAAGUGGAAAGUAUUUUCCAUCUUCAACAAUAUCUCUCUAAAUUUAAUUAAAAUUAGUCAAAAGUAAUGUCGAAAGUUAUAUAUAUAUAUAAAGGAUUUUAAAGAUACUUCAAAAGAAAGGCAUUCUUCAAAAGUGAUUAUAGAAACUAAAAAGCAUAUAUAGGAAAUGAUGCUCCACUAAAAGAAAAAAAAAAGUAAAAAUCACUUCCUAUCUUCUAAGUCUCAUCAUUUGAAACUCAUCAAAUUGUAAAAAAUGACAAAGUAGGUUAAAAGAAAGUAAAGUAGGUUAAAAUAAAGUACAUAAAUAGUUUGCUUUUCAAUUGUGUGUAACCUAAAAAUUGAUUAAUGCAUUAACUGUACAAAACUAUUUUCAACACAUAGAUUAGCAUAAUAUUAGAAAGAAAAAUGUUGAAAUCAAAUGGAUAUUAAUAACUUUGGUAUUAAUAUAUAAAUGAUUUUCCAUUUUCAUUAUGAUCUAUUUAGGUUGAUUUUGAUCAAUAUAAUGGAUUAGAGUGUCAAAUAGUUACAAAUUACUAAAACCAAGGGUAUUAAAUAAACUCUUCUAGAAAAAUAAGUUUACGAGAAAAAGAUAUAAAAACGAACUGGAGCAAAAUUUCAUAUUCUAUUAUUGAUAGAUAUCGAUAAAUUCCUAUCAAAUAUAUUGAUAAAAGUUUAUAAAAAUUUAUUAGUAUAUAUCAUUGAUAGAAUCUGAAAUUUUGUUAUAUUUUUAAAUAUUUUUAAACAGUUAGACUAUAAUUACAAUAAUUUUCUUUAUGAAAGUUUAUAGUUAAAUAUAUAAAUUUAUUUGUGAACAAUUUUAAAAUGAUACAAUAAACGAGAAAUUGAAGUUAAAAAAGCAAAGUAUGUAUAUAAUGGAAAUAAUUCAUGUGAAAUUAUCGUAAACGACAAAGCUACUGUAAAUUUUCAGAUUCUAUCGCUGACAAAGUCUAUCAAUAUCCUAUUAUUAAUAAAAUAUAAAAUUUAACUAUAUUUUGUAAAUACUUUCAUUCACUGUAUCAUAUUUGAAAAUGACCUUUUUAUAAAUUUAAUAAGUUUUAUUUUGAUCUCUAACCUCUCUCGAGAUGUCAUUUUCAUACAUUUGAAAACGGUAUCCAAAUUACAAAACUUUAAAUCAUAAGAUAACUCACAACUAAUAAUUUUAGGGAUAAGGAAGAAACCGAAGAUAAUUUUCAUACUCAAAACGCUAAGGGUUAAAAAAAAGUUAACUGUUCCAUUUUUGACAAUUUUUCUAAAAUGUAUGUAUAUAUAUAAAUAUUUUUAGAAAAAUGGUCAAAAAUAAAACGUAUAACAAAAUAUGUAAUAAAUUUCGUUUUUAGUGGGUUUGUUCUAUAAAAAUAGAAAAUUUAUGAAAAAAUUCUUAUACUUUAAAUAAUUUAAACUAAUAAUAAAUGAUCAAACAAAGAACAAAAUUUUUCUUGGAAACCUGAAAAAGUUUCUUCCUUUUAAAAACUCCAAAAACUUGUAACAAAAAUUAUCAAGAAAGCAAGUGCUUAAUUAACACCAAAAUAAAUGAUCUCAAAUGAGAAAGAGUUCAUCAGUUUGAUUUUAGAAAACGAAGGCAGAAAGAAGAAAUAAUAUAACCUGUAAGAAUACGAAUGUUUUGUUUGGAAUAUCCAAAGUGAUUGAUCAACAAAUCUUGCAUAUUUCGAACAUCAUUCACAGUCCCUUGUAGCCUAUGCUUCCAGUUCUUGUAAGUCACCCCACAGAGGAGAGCUCGCUUUAUUGUCCGCCGCCCGUCCGAGGAGGCCGUGGAUGAGAGGGUUCUCAUCGGAGGCUGUACUGACGGCCACAGAACCUUUUCUGGUUUCGAUUCAUCAUCUUGACUCGCGUAUCGUCUCCGUCGCAACGAUACUCCUGCACCAGAGGAGGAGGAGGAGGAAGAAGGUUUGAAGGAGUGAUUAUUGCAUUUGCAUUUGAAGCUGCCAUUGAUUUUUGUGGGGUUCUUGUUGAUCUUGCAACAACAAUAUUCACUUUUGGUAUACAUUUUUAUGCCUUUCCUUCUUCAAGACAAAGGAGUUAAAAGAGAGAAUAUAUAAAAGUCUGAUCAGGUGCAUGUUUGGGAACAAAUUCAAGAAAAAGAAUCUUAUGAUAUAUAAUUAAAUGUUUGUUUUUUUGGUUAUUAUUCUUCUAACUUUUUAGACUUUAAUUUACAUUUGUUUGUGCUAUUUUGGUUGUUGUACUUUUUAAUUAACGUUCAUGUUAAUGCAACAAAAAUAUGAUCAUUCAAUAGAAAAUGUGUUCUUUAUUAUUUUUCCUUAGAUAUGCACAAUAUUUUCCUUGACACUUUUCUUAGAAGUGCGUUUGGCGGGUAGAGUUGAGUGUUGGUAUAAUUAUUAUAUAAGAGAAGUAAUCGAGGGAGCUAAUGCAAAUAACAAAGAAAAAUGAGCCAGUUACGUUCCACAGCUACCCUUUUUAAUUAAUGGUGAACUAAAGAGUGGGUGAGUUUUCUAUAUCCAUGAUUUAAAUUUCAACUUUAUUCUAACUCAAUAAAAUUUCAUAAAUCAAUCAAUUUACGUUCUUAAUUAUAAUUUUUCUAUUUGAAAAAUUCUACACACGUUUAAGAAUCAAUGCACGGAUGAUUUUCAAAGAUAAUGGUAAGAAAAGGGUCUAAGUUGAAUGUGUUAUAGAAAUUUUGGAGUUUAAUUAAUUCAAAAUGUAAAUUUUACAAAGUAAUGGUUGAACGAAAUGUGACAAACGAUUUACAAAAUCUCACAUAAUUUAAAUUUAUAAUCCCAAUGGUUAGGGUUUUAAAUUGAUUUUUCUAAAAUCAUUUUUCUUAAUUUGAUAUCAUCCUCAAGACGUGAAAGAGUAGAAGUUCUUGUUCAGAAGGAGUUUCAUACUUCAAAAAAACCUAAAUGAUGAUUUACUAAGUUGGUUAUUUGUGCGUCGUUGUAAUUCAUAGACAAAAAUAAAUGAUCAUUAUUUAAUUUUAUUAUUAGUUGGUGAUGUUGAUAAAUGCAAAAUGUUGGGUAGAACAAGAUGUUGAUAAAACUUAUAUAAGAAUAUAGAAUGCAAGAUGUUGAUAAAAAACACGUUGCACGAAUAGUAUAAAAAGAUGUUGUGUAUAAAUUAAACUUGCACAAAAUGAUUCUACAACAUUGCAUAAAUUCAAAGCUAGAACAAUGGUGAGAAGUCUUCAUACCUCUGUACCAACAAGGUGGUCAUCGUUACGCUAAGACGCCAACUUAUCCUUUGACACGCCAAAUUAGAUAAAGGUGCGUGUAGUAGAAGUGCAUGAAUCAGCUGUGCGUCAAAUCACAGCCCUACAACGUGCAUGGUGCAGCAUGGUGGCGGUGUGUCUGCAUCAUUAAUUUGAACCAAACUAUCUUCAAACACGUCAAAUCACCUGAGAGUUGUAGAGAUAAGGGAGCUGCUUUCACAUCAAUCUGUCACAAUCUGCAACAUGAAAAAGAGACUUCUUCAUUAUUUAAACAAAACAUAUAUUAUCCUUCAACACCGUCACAUCACUGGUUCCCAAAUGGUUUCCGCAUAUUUUCCCUCUAAAAUGACCCAAGCUCUCCACCAACAAAAGGAACCAAGAACCCAAGCUCAUGAGAAGAUAAAUUUUAAGAUGAAAAAGGGAAGCUUCACGACAGAUGAGAGAUCGUCGGUAGAUCUCCUGAUCAGGAUUCAAGCUGCAUCAUUGUGUAGUUUUCUUUAAAAAACAAUUUUAGUGACCAUUUUUUGUCUAAUUUUUUAGUGUGCUUAUAAUAUAACAAUUUAUUAUUGUUAAUCAUAUAUCUUAAUUGAAUUCUAUGAUGUAUCCUUCUGUUUAAAAGUUCAUAAUAAAAAGUAUCUUUUCCCAUGUAGCCACUUGAGGUAAAAUCGUAGCACUAUGAACCUUUGGAAAAAGUAAGUGUGUGUAAAAAUAUUUAAAGGCAAAUGAGGUCUAGUAUGCAAAUAUAUAUUAUACAUAGAUUUUCAUUAAUUGAUAGUGUAGAGGUACAUAUAACAUUAGUCUUUAUAAUUAGAGAUAAUUAAAGAUACACUAAGCUAUAGAGGAUGCUGAGGUGCCACCUAAUUGAUGUUAUGGUGUACCUACUAAUCCAAAAUAAUCUUUUUCAAAAGAUAGCUAUAGAAAAAAUGGUGGUAAACAUAUUGAAUUAGCAUCUAGUUUGAUGUUCUAGAUUACGUAGGGAGACCGAGUAUAAUAAGUCUUUUCACUUUAAAGAUUACAUUGAAUUGAUAUUUAUAGAACAUUUUGAUUAAUCUAACAGAUAAUAGUAUGAGAAGUUUAUAUAUAUUAAAGUUUGUACGUUUGUUAGUCAGUAUUUAUAACUAUUUUUUUCUAUUGUUUUUUCACAUCUUACCCUUUUUUUAAUUUAUUGAAGUUUACUAUUACUAUUUUCUUAAGAUGCAGCAUCAACAACUCAGACUAAUAUAUUUUAAAUCAUCAUUUUUGUACAUCAGUUGAUACCAUAUCCACGUAGAUUCAACCUUGGAAUACUCCAAGUAUAUACUACUUCCUAUUACAUUGAUUUAUACUUGAUCACUUUGACUUUGUGUAAUUUUAGCAUAAACAAUAAUUAUUAACUCUUUAGUCUUUUGCUAAUUUUGGUGUUAUAUAUGUCAUUACUUUAUACGCUAUUAAUAGAUAAUCAUAUGUUUAUUGUUAUUAUUGGAAUUUUAGAUUUGAUUUCUCAGAUUAACUGGUUUUUGUGUUCAUAGGUGAACAAGUUCAUCUUUUGAUAAUUAAUAAUCCAUGAAGUUUUUUUCACUCUACUUUCUUAUUUCAAAGAUAAUUAUAAUUGGUGAGAGCUUUAUUAUUUUUUAUACAUUAUAAAUAUAGUAAAAUCUAAUCUGAUCUAUUAAUGAUAGAUUUGGAUGAAAUUUUCUAUCUUCCCAAUUUUUGUUUAAAGAUGUUAUUAUAUAUUUAAUAAUUUUAAAUUUAAUUGCUAUAUUUAUAAUUAUCUUUUAUUUUAAGCAUGCUGAAUUGACUUUUUCAUUUUAUGAUAAUGUCUAUUUGAAAUCUUUUAUAAACACAGUAACUUUAAUUUGAAUGGUUCACAUUAUACUUAAAGUAUGUCUUUAAAGUUAUGUCCUUUCUGUUGCUAGAAUAAUGAGAAAACCAUACCUAAAUUUCCAAACUAUUUUAUUCUUUUUACUACCUAUUAUAAUUUCUCAAUAAAUUAAAUGAAGUGAUUGUGAAUUAAUUUAGCUUAUCUUCAAAGAAGUAAUCCCAAGUCUUGAAGUAGAAAAGGGUAUGGUGGUGAAGUGGGAAUCAAGUGUUUUAUAACACCAAAUCUACGAUAAUAUUUGCAUUUCAAACAUAUCAAGCAACGAAUCCACAUCCUAUUCUCUUCUUUAAUACUUUAUAGCAUUUUUAGAAUAAAGAACAAUCCCAUCUCCUUUUUCCCUCUCUCUUUUCAUCAAUCUCACAACAAAACCCUCUUCUUUUAAAAAAGUGAUACAAUAACACCCGAACAUUUUCAUUAGUUAAACACAUUCUUAGCACCUUCCUCAUUUUCAAAAUAUUUUAAAAGAUAUUUCAUUAAGCACGAUCAAAUUCUUUUAUUCUCUACAAAGAGUGUCCUAUAUAUUAGAUCACUUUUCGUUAAUGUUUUACAUUUAGGGUUUACCGUUACUUAUUCUUUUUUCUCAUUCUUCUAUUUUUUUCUAAAAAAAUCUAGAAAUAAUAACAUGUUUGAUUAAAUUUUUUGUUUAUUAUUUCUUAAAAAACUAAAAACUUUAUUUGAUAACAUUCUGCAGUUUGAUAUAUAAUAUAAAAAAUGUAUAACAUGCAUUAACACGAUAACCUAUCAUAUCAAGUUUAAUCUAAUUAAAACUAAUGGAUAACUAUUUAAAUGUGGAAUGGUUAACAUAUCCUUUCAAAGAUGGUGUCUAUUUUAGGUUCAUCAAUCUUGAUGAUAUAUUUUUGUUGGACUCAAAUCUAUUUUGGCAUACAAAAAUAAACGAAUUUGUAAAAUUUCAACGUCAUUUUUUAUCGGAGGAUAUUUAUAGAACUAGCCAUUGGAGUGGAUGACAGAUUACCAAUUAAUCUUAAUGUUAGACACCAAUGGGAAAGAAUAUAAUAGAGUAUUGUAAAGUUCUUUUGAUCUUACAGCCAUUUUUUUAUAAAAUUAGGGACCUUAUAGAACUUGAAUGUCGUAAGUAGUUGAUUAAUUAAUUUGGUUUUGUACCAACUGCUUGGAAUAUGUGUGUAACGUUAGCUGAUUAAUUAGAUAUUAAUAAGACAUUAAACUGAUUGGAAUAUAUGUGUGUGUAACAGUUAACUAAUAAAACUAAGUAUUAAUAAGACAUUUGAAUAGAAUAAUAUCUUUACAAAUUUGAAUCUAAUUAAUUAAGUAUUAAUAAGAUAUUUGAAUAGAACAAUGCCUUUACAAGUUUGAAUGGAAGGUAUAUAUAGAAUUAUUGUCGUGACAAAUUAUGCCAUUUAGAUUAAAAUAUGGCUUUUAAUGUUUACGAGCAAAAAUCAAAUGGGGGACUUAAAGGUCCAUUAAAUAUAUAUAAAGAAUAUAUUAGACAUAAACUUGAAAAUUGAAUAAAAAAAUUUAUAAUUGGGGUUCUUUAAAAAAUAUAAGGACAAAAUAUUUAUAUAUAACAAUUUUGAAAACCGAAAAAUCCUACGUGCUCACGGUGAAAAAUGCAAAAAAAAAAAAAAAAGUUGAUAAAAACAUUUAGAAAAAAUAGCUUAUGACACUUUUUUUUUUUUUUUUUUUUUUUUUUUUGCAUAUUGCGAAUAUGACAAAAUUAAUGAUAUUAGACGACUAUCAAACAACUAUUAUACGGUUAUCAAGUUUUUGCAAUGACCUCUACAAAAAAUGCUCCCAUCCUAAUAUAUUUGGGAGAGGAUAUCAACAUCGUUUAGAUUUGACUACAGAUCGUUUAGAUUUUUCUAUCCAAGUCUAAACCAUUUUUUUUCUCAAAAUUUUUGUGUUAAUUAUUUAGAUUUGAUCGUUUAAAUUUGGGUAGACAAAUCUAAACGAUUUUUUUAUAGAGAUUUAUUGAAAUGUUUUAUAUUUGAUAUACAAUUUUGAACAAAUAGUACCAAUAACAGUUUGAAAAAAAUAAAAGAAAAAUGGCAGACGAAGAGAAAAAAGACGAUAGUCAACUUCAUACUUUUUUUUAGUUUGUUACACAUCUUGCAAUUAUUUUGUUGUUUUGUAAUAUUUUCAAAAAUUCGAGUUGUAAUUGAACUCUAUUCUUUUUAUUUAUGUACAUUUUCUUCUAUCCAAAAGUUAUUUCACUAAAUUUGAUUUGGAGUUUUUACUUUUCUAAUAUUGUAAAGUUAUAUACUUUAUAUUGAGUAUUAUAUUUCAACUAAUAUAUCAUUUUUAGAUUUAGUAUACUGAUUGAUCAGCUGGUAUACGAAAUAUAAAAAUUAUAUUAGUUCGUCGGGUUGAUAACCAUCCAGUGAAUUUGGUGAAAAACUAUCGAAAUAUUAUAUUGUUACCCUUGAAAUUGUAUUUUAAACAAUUAUUAUAUACACAUAUUUAAACAUAUACUUUUCUCAAGAAGCAUUGAUGUCUUGAUGCAUUUGCCAUGAAUAAGAUUUUCUAGUUAAAAUAAAUCAUUGUCUAAGAUAACUUAAUUGAAACUAAAAUAAGAACGUAUUUGAAUUGACUUUUUAAGUGUUUAAAUGAGUUAAAUAUUUAUGAUGAAAAAAAUGUUUACAAACAAUUAGAAAGUCAAUCGACGUUAUACCUUUAAUUGAUUCAUAUAUCUAAAAAUCGUUCCAUAAAAAAAAUAUCUAAAGGUUUUAAGACUUUCACAACAAUAAGCUAAAUGACACAAAAGUCUCGGGAUGGCUCUAUCGCCACGUCAAAGUUUAAGCCUAAUAUAUUCUUGCACUUUACCCACGAAUUGGUCUAGCUAUGCAAUCACAUGUAACUAAACGUUCCUAACUAGUGGGAUCUAUUUAUAAGAGGUAGAUGUAAAGGUAACAAUAACAAUAAUUUUCAUAAUUUUCAGUAUAUUUGAUCCAUGAAUGAAAUUACAUUACACUUGCAACCAUUUUUAUUAGGUGGAAAUUAAAACGUGGCCGGAGUGUUUAGCUGGUUUUCCCUUUAGUUCCUAAUUUAGUAUGUCUUUUUACAAUCUAAGGCAAGAACAUCUAGUGACCACUUGACCAACUAAUCACGUUUAGCUAAACACUUCUGGCAUCCUGACUAGCUAAACAUGGCCGAAGUGUUUACCUGGUCUUUCUUUUAAUCUAAUUUAAACGAGAGUAACAUAUGGAGAUUAUUGCUUUUAAUAUGCUAUUAUUGCCUUUAACUCUAAAAAUAUAUAAAACUCAAGCGAUUUAGAGUAACAUUAAGAGCCCAAGUUUUAACCAAAUAACCAAGCUCCUCUUAAAAUGUGACUCUUUCCCUGCUUGGACUUAAGCUCUUCCUAAGGAUGUGAAUAUUAGUGAUAUUGCAAUUAGCUUUCGUUAGGUAUGCGAGACAGCUUCCUCUCAUUUAAAGAUAUACCUUUCCUUUUCUAUUGUGGACUGCCUUCACGUGAGAACCUAAACUUCUCCCCAAGUCUUGAAAAUUCUUUUCUUGAAGAGUAAUGCCUUAGGAUAACUCUAAGGGAGAGAUCCUUCUCAAUCAACUUUGUCUUUAAGUUCCCCUUGACACAGAACAAUACUUCUCAAAAUUGCAGAAAACACCGUCACACCAAAGAAUAAAUACUUCCUUCUUGAAUUAAGCACUAUGCAGAAAGUGCUUAUUGUUACACUCGAUUAAAAACCUUCACAGACCACAAUGUGCAGCAACCCUGGUGAAAGAAGCAUCUGAGGUUUAAAAAGAUAGAAAAUAUCCCAUCAUGAAAAAGGAAAGCACCGAAAAGUAAAACAUGCAUACUAGAGAAAAUAAUUUGCAAAACAAUGUAGAUAAGAAAACAAAAUAUUCUACAGAUUUGGCAUCUUGACACGCAGCCUCUGAGACAAGAUCAUCGUCCUACAGGAACAAAAGCGAAGACAACUCAUAGACUGCCCAAAAGCGAUUUCAGAAGUGUUAAAUAAAUAUAUAUAGGCAAUGCACAGAUCUGUCAGUGAUCUCUUGGAACUUUUGUGAUAGCCUUUUAUAUCAUAUAUCUUCAAAUCUAUCAAUUUAGAACCAGUCACUGUCAAAAGCAGGUUGCCAUAUCUGUACAUUCUUGACCACGAAGGGUUCAUCAACUCUCUAACUUCAACACAAGAUUUAUCUUGGGUCUUUUAAUUACUUCCGAAAGUAAAAGAAUUCAAUCAUGUGAAAAAAAUAGGAUAUACCAUUUCCAUUGAUAUUCUUCUUUGACACCACAAUAUUAUGUAUAUAAUUAAAACACUUGCACGAAUAUUCAAAACAAAAAGAAAAGAUCCUAGAAGUUAAAUGAUAGUUGACUAAUGUUCUUGAACUGUUACCCAAUUUGUUAUACACAUGGAAGGUCGUCGUUGUAAAGUGAAUAUAAUUACAUGUAAAGAAUUGCCAUUGGUGAAGAGGAAAAUUGUGAUUGAAAAAGAAUAUUCUGUCAAAGGCCCAAUCUUUGGUGUUGUCAAUGGAGUCAGCAUCGGUUGUUGUAUCUAACCCUUUAGAUAAUUACUUUCCAAAAUUUUAAAAGUCUUAUUAAAAACCGUUUAGACCCGACCAUGAAGGAGUACAAAACAAUUGUUUGAUUGAUCAGUCGAUCAACUUAAUCUUUUACAAUUAUUGUCGGUUGGAUUUUUUUCUCAAACCAAUACCGUCCAAACCCUUCUUCAUCUUCGACCCACUGCCUUUAGUUUGAUCAAUUUUUAUCCGUCAACUUGAUUUUUCGAUCAUGCUCAUCCAUUUCUUAAUCUUUUGUCUUCAAAACUCACUUUCUCAAAGUUCAGCUUCCGCGGUACUAAUUUAUGGGAUGAAAGGCUUUGUACUUUCCAAAAGGCCCAAAACAAAAAACAAUAGCCUUAAUUAGGAACAUUUUGUUCCAUGCAAAUUAACAAGAUAGAGCCAACAUGAGUUCGGUUCAAUUGACAACUGUAUAUACUCGAGAAUAAGAGAGUCUUAGAUUCAAAUUCCUUCACUCUGUAUUUUGUAUUACGAUAUCUCUAAAAAUACAGAUACUUAAAAUUAUACAACAUAAUUUAUGUAACGUAAUUAUAUAAUAUCAUGAACCCCUUCCUUGUCAGUUUAGCUGAGACCAAAGGAUAUUUUAUUUGAUUUUAUUGAAGACUAUGCAAAGCUUGAGAUAUCUUCAAAGAUAUUUUCUUGUAAUUUAUAAUUAAGUCACCCUCAAGGCUAUGGCUAUUUUAGUUUAAUUCCAAUAUUAUAUUUAUCUAUCUUUGCUUCUGUACUGAUCUAAUCUAACUGUGGCCACACAGUGUGUGCACAAUUAUUAUAUUUGAUAGUUUUCUACACACAUUAUUCAACAAUAAUUAACACAAAAACACACAAGAAAACAUCAAAAUUUGAAUCAUCUUAUAUCAAUUAAUUAAUUAUUAAUUAACAUAAGUUUGAAAGAAUACAUUGGACGAAAAAUGUUUAAAAGAUGGUACGGAAUGAACAAUGAAACAAUAUAAAGAAUGUAAAAAAUUAACACAUAUAUGAUUUACUAAUAGUGUAUUAGUUGCUACGUCCACAAACAGAGAGAACUAAUAUAUUACAAGUGAGAAUGUUCUAGAAUAAAAACGAUGCUACUGAAUUAUGAAGUUUAUAUACUGCACUCCUUUAAAUCUAAGAAAAAAGAAAGUAAAUAACUACAUAUGUUCAAUUAAGAAAACUAAAAAAAAAGUUAGAUUGUCUCUAUAGAGACCUUCGUACUAGAUUGUUCGUAUAACUAUCUACAGAAAAUGAAUGCAUUCCAACCUAUCAAUUUGAGUGUUGUAUAUACAUAUAAAUUAUUUAUAUGGCAAUAAAGUAUUAAGAAAAGUCAAUAGAAAAAUACAAAGCCAGCUUUUCAUAUGAUGUUCAUAUCCGUUCUAACGUCCAAUAAAAUAGGACAAAAUAAUUUAAUCAAUCGUUCCCUACUGCCGACGUUUGACAACGAAGCUGUUCGUCUAUGGUGGUAGGGCUCAGAUUUUUUUUUUUUCUUUCACUAAAUUUACUUUAAAGUGUCAAGUCAAACAAAAACCAUGAGUAUAAAUUUGAUUGAGAAAAUUAAAUUCACCAAUUUUUAUGUUUAUUAAAAGGAAAAUUACAAAAAUAUCAUACAUGUGUUCUAAUGAUAAAAGUUGAGUCAUCAUAUUCAUAUAAUUAACUGUUAUGCAAUGAAGGAAGACGAAAAAAAAUAUUGAGAUAGUUGCAAAUUUAGCAAUUAAAUUUAAAAUAAUUAAGUAUAUAACAACAUUUUAAAAAAAAUUACAAAUAUAACAAAAUUUGUCAAAAUCUAUCAUCGAUAAACUAUGUUAUAAAUAUUGAUCUAUCACCGAUAGAUUAUACGACUUUAUCAGCGACAGUUUUGUUAUAUUUGCAAUUUUUUUAAAAUAUUACUAUAUCCUUAAUUAUUAUUUCUAAAAUGGCCAUCAAUUACAAUUAUCCAAAAAUAUUUGAGAUAUUUACAAAAAAAAUUAUAAUAAUAAAAUUCAUGCCACUACAUUUUUUAAAUUACAAAAGUAACAAAUUUAAAAGCAAACAGUCAUCUCAUAGGCUUUUAAUAGUUAUCUGAUAACCAUACAUCUAAUUACAUAUCAUAUUUGUAAUACGAAAAAAAAGAUGUACGAUAGACUUUUUUUUUUUUUUUGUCAUUUAAUGCAAGUUUUCAAAAAAAAAAAGUUUCUUGAGAGAAUAAAUAUAAAGCCUCCAAAAAUAUACAUGAUAAUAUAAUCAAAGAAAAAAAAUAACAUUGUUUGAUGUUCAAAACUUUAUAGAAAUUGGACUCCCGACUGAUAACAUACAUUUAGGGUUUAGAGCGUAUAAGUUUAUUAAAUUGAGCAUUAAUUUAUAUUUAUUGUCUCUCUUUUCUUUGAAGAGAACUUUGUAUAUUUAUUAAUAUCUUGAAUGUGCUAUUUUAUGGCAUCUUGUUUAACUUAAAAGUCAAAUUUGUUGCUCUCACAUGCUACGCAGUUUAUUUUGUAAGGAUUUAAUAAUUCGAGGUCGUUUUGGAGUGUUUAGAAUAAUCAGCAUUAAAUUUGAAUUACUUAAUUGAGCAAGGGAGUAAUGGAAAAUGAAGUGAAACUCAAGCGAGAAGGUGAGGGGUGGUUGUGACUUAUGAGAUGAGAUGAGCCGUGAGGGGAGAGGGGAAAGUGUGGGAACGGUGGUGGCUGGCAGUGUGGGUCUAUGAAGGCGACGGGAGGUUGGACUGUUGAGGGAUGCCGAUGAAAGGGAGAGAGAGAGAAGCGAUGGUGGACGUGAUGUGAAGAAAGCGAGGAGGGAGAAAGGGAUGGAGCCAGAGCAGUUGGGGUUGAGUGAAGUGGGGGAAAGAAAUUAUCAUUAUAUUUUUUGUUUUGGCACACAUGACAAGAUAAAUAAAUACACGACUUCAAUUUCUUUACGGUUUUUAGAUUUGAAAUUGAUUCGAUCUACGUAAAUUUGAUAACAGAUCGAAUCAGACCGUGUAUUAAAUUUGGUUUGGAUUCGAUUUGUAAAACGGUUCAGUUUUCACAGUUUUGAUGAACAUCCUUAAUAUAUUAAUAAUCACUAUAUUGUAAUGCGAUUCUAUUGUAUUUUGUAUAAAUUCACUUAUUCGAUCCAUAGUGAUCAUUUAUCUGAUAAAUAAUUUCAUACAAGUUUUUUUAACAUUCAAAUAUUGUAGAAUCAGACGAAAGUUAUUUGAUAUGUGUAUAAACUGAUCAAAACACUCUUGGAUAUCAAAGAAAAAAAAAUCAAUCGUUUGAUUUUUAGGUCUAUAGAUUUUGGUGUACAUUUGGGCAAAUGACCACUGGUUUAUUUUUAUUUUUAGCCAUUUAAAUGGAAUAAAUUAAAUUUAAGUAGAAUUUUCAUCAUUGAAUUUUAGUCUCUCUUUAAACUUGAAUCCUUUCUAACACACCAAAAACUAACUUAUUUUCAAUUAAUUUGAUACAACUUUAAGAUUUAACUAAGAUUCGUUUGGAUUGACUUAAGAAAAAAUGUUUUUAAAAAACUAAUUUUUGUUUAAACUUUUUUUCUAAAAAUUGUUUAGGGUUUAGGGUUGAAAAUGUAAUUUAAACACGCCACAAGUCUCUUUGUUAUCAAGUUUAUUAUUAAGUUAUUUUAUUAUCCCACACAGAGAAAUGAACAAUAAUAGUCACGUUAGAUCUAAUAUAACGUCAAAAAGUUAAUUAAUUUGUAACAAUCCAAAAACAAUGAUAAAAAACUAUGAGCUCUUGGCUUCCUUUAAUUGAAAACAAAAGUAAAAUAAAUCUACCACACAAUUGGAGAGUUCAUAAAAUGUUUGAUUUUUUUCCCCCAAUUUUGUACACAAGAGAACAAUAAGAGGCCAUUUGGUAGAGAUUGAGGAAAUUGGAAGGAUGCAUCAUCAUCAUCAUGCAUGUUGUGUUUUGUUUUAUGUUAUGACUUUCCUAUUCUUAUUAAUUAUGUUAUAUAUGUUUAGUUUAAUGCUAUUAUUUUUGUUUUUCUUAUCCCCAUUUUGUAAUAAACAAUUUGCAAUUAUUUUAUAUGUAAAUGUUUCAAGUCCUUUAAUUUUUUAAUAAAUAUUCACUAUUUUAUAUUAUUUUCUAACUAUUUAUUUUUUAAAAUUUUAUAAGGUAUAUAAAUGUUGUCUUACAUCAAUGAUUAAACAUAGUAAAUUAUAGUCUAAUUCAACUCUAUAAUCAAAAUUUCAUUAAACUAGUUAUAACAAAUUUCAUCCGUUUCUAUUCUAUAAACUUCUUUUCAAAAUUUCCGCCUAAUUUUAGCUAGUUAAUAAAUUAGAUCAAUAAAUCACUAGUUUCGUAUUCUGAUUCACUACAUUAAAAUUGAAGGUAUUAAUUCUAGAAUUUGAAUUGAUUUAUUCUGAAGGGAUGAGAGAUGAUACAAUAAUGAUCAUUAUUAUUAUUGUUUUUAUCUGGCAAUUGAUAAAUUUAUUGGUCCAAUCUUUAAUAUACACAACGAUGAGUAGGCAGCUGUAAUACUCAUGUUGGUUUUUUUGUCCUUUUCAAGAUUCAUAUAUUAAUGAAUAAUGAGAUACAUAUCUGCAUCAUCAAUCAAUGAGCCAAAACAAAUAUAUAUAUAUAUAUAUAUAUAUUUAUAAGCUCAAAUUAAUUACUUCUUUCUUUUGCAGCCUAUAAGAAUAUUAGAAUCCUUACAUUUUUAUUUCUCCAAAAACUGAGCAACUUACCAUUUCAAAGAAGAUCAAGAAAAUUCAAAGAUGGGAUCUGUCUCACAAACUGAAAAACCACAUGCUGUAUGUAUCCCAUAUCCAGCCCAAGGCCAUAUCACCCCUAUGCUAAUGCUUGCUAAGCUUCUCCAUCACAAAGGUUUCUACAUAACUUUCGUCAACACCGACUACAAUCAUCGUCGUCUUCUCAAAUCGAGAGGCCCCAACUCGCUCGAUGGCUUGCAAGAUUUUACAUUCCGAACCAUUCCCGACGGCCUUCCUUACUCGGACGCCAACUGUACUCAAGAUAUUCCAGCACUCUGUGAAUCCACCUCCAAGAAUUGCUUAGCCCCGUUUUGUGAUUUUAUUUCACAACUUAACUCAAUGGCAGCUUCUCCUUCUAGUAAUAUGCCACCAGUUAGCUGUAUUGUUAGUGAUGCUGUUAUGUCUUUCUCUAUGUUGGCUGCCAAUGAGUUUAAAAUCCCUUAUGCUUUUCUUUGGACUGCUAGUGCUUGUGGCUACCUUGGUUACUUCCAAUAUGAGCAUCUCAUUAAACAAGGCUUGAUUCCUCUUAAAGGUAUGGUUUCAUUUGAAUCUGUUUUCUUUUCUUUCUUUUUGUUUCUGUCAAUCUUUGUUAAACAUGCAUUUUUGUGUGCUAGAAUUUUACUUUAAAAAUUAUUUUUAAUUCUGACAUUUUAAAAAAUAUAACAAACCACAAAAAUAUUUUCAUGGUAUAAAACAAUUUUGAAAACGGAAAAAGCUCACUGACCCACAAUAAAAAAUAUAAAGAAUGCCCUAAUCAACAGUACACGAUUAAUCUACUACACGGACGUGCCUAAUUUUUCUACUAAACGAUCAAGAUACAUGUUCGUAUAGUUAUUUUUAACGAGUAGAAAAAUGCUUCUUGUACUUAUAGAAUAUAUCAAUGAAGUGGAAAUGAUGAGGAUGAUAAGAGGGUGUUCAUCUAAUGGAAAUGUGCUGGUGCACCUAUUGACCUAUAAUAUUUAAAAAGAAAAACGAUGAGAAAAAUAUUUCAAAUCUAAACGACAGUGUUAAAACACAAUGAACGAUCGUGUUGACUAUUGAUAAGUGAUCGUUUAGGUCAUAUUCACACGAUUGUGUAAUUUUUUUUAAAAGAUAAGGAAAUGACUUCAAAUCUAAACAACGGUGUUGACUAGAUAAAUGAUCUUAAUAUUAUGAAAAAAGAGUUGGAAGAAAGAAAGAAAGGGAAGAUGAAGAAAGAUAGAAAAAGAAGUUAAACGUUUAACAAAAUUUUUUGGAAGAUGAGCCAAAAUUUUUUGGAAGAGAAAAUGGAUAAAGUACAAAAUAGAAAAGAAAAAGAACUGAUGAAUCGUUCCCAAUAUAUCAAGGGCAAAACUAGAAUUUAUGGAAAAAAUUUACGAGCUUCAUAGGACAUUUUGUUUUUGUUACACGGAUGAUUGUAAAUAUUUUGGUGUUUUCUUACCUUUAUGAAAAAUUAACCUUUUUAAUCUUAGAGGGACACUUUUAAAUAUAUAAAAUAGUUAAUCAACUAAAAUAUUUACAAAAUAUAAUAAAAAAUUUAGAUUUUAUUUUGUCAAUGAUAUAUUGUUUACGGAUAUUGAUUUAUCAUUAACAGACAUGAAUAAGUUUUUAUUAGUUUCUAUUUUUUUUUAUACACUAAAUCUCAGAACUUUAAAAACGUUUCUAAUAAUUAAAUCUUCUAUUUUUAAUGUUUGUAUGUUUAACUCUUUGAAAUUUUAAUGUUUCAUUUCUAUUAAGUCUUUCAUCCAUUCAACAUUUUAAAAAUUUUAUGAACCUAUUAGACUAAAAAUUACAUGUUCAAUACUAAAAAUUACAUGUUCAAUUAUGUUCGUUGGACCCUAAAUAAACUUUUAUUUCUCUCUCUCUCUUUUUUUUUUUUUUUAAUUAUAGAAGAUGUCAAAUACCUAAGGAUGACAUAUAUAUUGACAGAUUUAUUAGGAUGAGAAGUUGAAUAUUUUGAAACAAAUCAUAUACUUAAUUGUCUUUUCAAGAGAAAGUUUUCUUGGGUAGAAAAACAUGCCAAACAAUUUAGUGUGAUAGACUUUUUAACCUCCAAAGAUAGACUUCUCUUAGUCUCUAUCAUUGAUAGACACUUAUACACUUCUAUAAACUUUUAUCGAUGAUAAUUAGCGUCUAUCAGUUUCUAGUACUUGUAGAUGACAUUGAUAUAUAAAUUUCUAUAUGUGUUCAUUACUUAUACCGUUGAUAGAUAUGCUAAUUAAUAGGCUUCCAACAACGUUCAUUUAAAUGAUAAAAAAAUUAAAAAAUUAUUUGCAAUAACUUGUAAAUAGUUUAAUCUAUCAACAAAUUAAGAAAAAAAAAGAACUUGGACACAUCCAAUAGAAUACACAACCACGUGGACCAAGCCAUCAUUUUAACCAAAUUUUUUAUUUUGGAGUUUGUGUAUUUAAGUUUUGAUCUCUUUUUUACUGGUCAACAGAUAUGAAUCAGGUAACGGAUGGAUAUUUAGAAACUACAGUCGGAUGGACUCAAGGAAUGAAAAAUAUACGUUUGAGAGACCUUCCUACUUUUCUUAGAACAACAAGUCUAGAUGAUAUUAUGAUCAAUUUUAUCAUUCAAGAAAUGAAAAGAUCUCGAGAAGCAUCUACAAUUAUAUUAAACACAUUUGAUGCAAUCGAAGGAGAUGUCAAAGAUUCUCUUUCUUCUAUCCUUCAGUCUAUUUACACUAUUGGUCCACUUCACAUGCUUGGCAACCAAAUAGAUGAUGAAAAACUAACAGCAAUUGGCUCAAACCUAUGGGCUGAGGAAUCAGAAUGCAUUGAGUGGCUUAACUCUAAGCAGCCCAACUCAGUUGUUUAUGUUAAUUUUGGUAGCAUUACAGUGAUGACACCACAACAAAUGGUUGAGUUUGCAUGGGGAUUAGCUGAUAGUGGGAAGUCAUUUUUGUGGAUUACAAGGCCUGAUUUAAUUGUGGGAGAUUCAGCCAUUAUGCCUCAAGAAUUUGUUACACAAACUAAAGAUAGAAGCUUGAUAGCAAGUUGGUGUAGUCAAGAACAAGUGUUGAACCAUCCAUCAAUAGGAGGAUUUCUAACACAUAGUGGAUGGAAUUCAACUCUUGAGAGUAUAUGUGCUGGUGUUCCAAUGAUUUCAUGGCCUUUCUUUGCUGAACAACAAACAAAUUGUCGUUAUUGUUGCACUGAGUGGGGGAUUGGAAUGGAGAUUGACAACAAUGUAAAAAGAAAUGAAGUGGAGGAGUUAGUGAGAGAGUUGAUGGAUGGAGAAAAAGGUAAGAAAAUGAAAGAGAAUGUAAUGUAUUUGAGGAGUAAAGCUGAAGAAGCAUAUAAACCAGGUGGUUCUGCUUACAAGCAAUUGGAUAAGCUGAUCAAUGAAGUACUUUUGUCAAACAUAAAGAAGGUUUAAGCUUUGUAUCCAAAGUUCUCUGCUGUUACACCUGGUUGAUCUGCUUUUCUUCUUUAGGAACCUAUGUAUUAUUAUAUAUUGAAUAUUAUUGCAUGGUUUUUCUUCAAUAAAUUCUCCUAUUUGAUUUUUCUGAAGACUAGCUCAUUAAUUAAGUAGGAAAAUGUAUAUAAAGAUUGUGGUAUAUGUUAGAUUGGAUCUGUUUCAGAUAAGCAUGUUGUAAAACUCUCUAAUCCUAACGACGUCCGUGAUAUGUAGUUUGAAUUAUUCUUUUUAAAAAUAAAUUGCUCUGUUUUCUUUUGUUCACCGAUAUAACUAACACAUGGUUAGUUAAGCAAGCAAACAAUCUUUAUAUAUUGAUUCUACAUCGUAUACAUUUUUCUUCUUUUAUCUUAAUUAAUGGUGAAUUUGUAACCGUGUCUUUCCAUUUUAUCUAUAUACGUGUGCAAGACAUCUCUUGACAUCCUCUUAUUAUUGUUGGUAUGAAUUUGAAAAUUUGUAUGUCGUGGACACAUAAAUUCAUAUAGUAGUAAAAUGUCCUCAUUAAAAAAAAAACUAUUAACAACUUAUCCUAAAAUAAAUUUGAAAUUUUUUAUCCAAACACACCAUUUAACCACUAUAAACCAUUACUAUUAUUAGGAAAACUAUGAAAAACAAUAAAUUUGACAAAAUAUUUACAAGCUAUAACACAAUUUCAUAUCUGUCAAUACCAAACAGUGAUAUCCUUCUAUCUAUGGCAUUGAAGCUAUUACUAAUUAUUUUUUAUAGAAUCCAUAAAUUUUAUUAUAUAUUAUAAAUAUUUUAAUUUAUUUUGCUACUUUAAAAACUAAUUUGAAUAGUUUUAUGUCGCAAUUGAUCGUUUGUCCAUCCAUUUAUUAUGACAACCACAAGUAACAUCUGUAGUGGUCACCAUGGUUUUUUUGUUUUUUUCCCAAGAUUCAUAUAUUAAUAAAUGAUUGAGAUACAUACAUUAAUCAACCAACGAUCCAAAAGCAAAAAGAUAUUUAUAAGUUCAAAUUAUCUUCUUGCUUCUGCAGCUUGUAAGAAUAUUAGAAUUCUUACAUUUUUGUUUCUCAGAAAACUGAGCAAUUCCCCAUUUCAAGAAGAUCAAGAAAUUCAAUGAUGGAAUCUGUCUCACAGACUGAAAAACCACAUGCUGUAUGUAUCCCAUAUCCAGUCCAAGGCCAUAUCACCCCUAUGCUAAUGCUUGCUAAGCUUCUCCAUCACAGAGGUUUCUACAUAACUUUUGUCAAUACCGACUACAAUCAUCGUCGUCUUCUCCAAUCGAGAGGCCCCAACUCGCUCGAUGGCUUGCAAGAUUUUAAGUUCCGAACCAUUCCCGACGGCCUUCCUUACUCGGACGCCAACUGUACUCAAGAUAUUCCAGCACUCUGUGAAUCCACCUCCAAGAAUUGCUUAGCCCCUUUUUGUGAUCUUAUUUCACAACUUAACUCAAUGGCAGCUUCUCCUUCUAGUAAUAUGCCACCAGUUAGCUGCAUUGUUAGUGAUGCUAUUAUGUCUUUCUCUAUGUUGGCUGCCAAUGAGUUUAAAAUCCCUUAUGCUUUUCUUUGGACUGCUAGUGCUUGUGGCUAUCUUGGUUACUUCCAAUAUGAGCAUCUCAUUAACCAGGGCUUGAUUCCUCUUAAAGGUAUGGUUUCAUUUUAAUGUGUUUUCUUUUCUUUUUUGUCAAUCUUUGUUCGAAAUGGAUUUUUGUGUGGUAGAAUUUUAUUUUAAAAAUUAUGUUUAACUUUUUUAUGAACAUUUUCAGCAUAAUCAACUAAAAUAUUUAUAGAAUAUAUCAAAAUUUUACAUGUUAGAUUUAAAGAUAGAGAUUUAUUUUAGUAUAUUGAUAGACAUAAAUAGACUUAUAUUAGUAUGAAUUGAUAUACUAAAUUUUUUCAAUUUUAUUUCUAAUAAAUUUAUAAAUUAAAAAAGUUUCUAAUAAUUAUAUCCUUAAUGUUUUUUAAUUUUUAUUUUCAUCUAACUCUUGUUAUCUUUUUAUCAAGUCUUUCAUCCAUUUCAACGUUUUAAAGAUAGUAGGAACCUAUUAGACUUAAAAGUUACAAGUUUAAUUAUGUUCAUUAGACCCAAAAUAAAUUUUCAUUCCUAUUUUUUAAAAAAAAAUUAUAGAACAUGUCAAAAACCUAAGAACUACUUAUAUAUUUUUUGAGAGGAUAUGAAUUUGAAAAUUUAGAAACAAAUGAGAUGCUUAUCUUUUCAAGAGAAAUUUUAAUAGUUAGAUAAGAUGCCAAACAAUUGAGAGUGAUAGACUUUUAUCACCUCUAAAGUCUUAGUUCUGUCAGUUAGUGUUAGUGAUAGGUUUCUCAUUAUCCAUUUCUAUUAUUGAUAGACAUCGAUAAACUUCUAUUAGUUUUUAAUAUUGAUAUAUGACAUCGAUAGAUUUCUACAUGUGUUUAACCUGUAUUUUCUAAAUUUCUUAUCAACAUAUAUUUGAAAGAUAAGAAAUUUAGAGUUUUUUGCGAAUUUUUUUUUAAAUAAUGUAAAAUUUGAAACAUAUAUCAAAAAUAGGGUGGAUGCAAAACUAUUUUUAAAAAUAGGUGAUUUGGGGUGAAGUCUCGUACACGACUUUCAUGCAGUGGACCUCACAUAUUCUAUUUUUUUUCUUAUUUUUAUAUUUAUACUACACUGGGCCCACAUUUUUUUUAUUUUCUCAUUAUUUAUAUACGUGGGACCCACACACUUCACUUUUUCUCAUUAUUUAUAUAUACAUACUCACAUAUAAUAUAAUAUAUAUAUUAAACAUUCAAAUUCUAAAGAUAUCUUUCUUUAUUAAAUUAAUUAAUUUUUUAUUUUUUCUUUAUAUAUAUUUAAAUAUCACAAUCUUCAAUCUUCGUUUUUUCUUAUUAAAUUCAUUUUUCUACUUUAAUUUAAAUUUUUCUUAAUCAAAAUUACACAUAUCUUCUUUUCCAAAUUUUAAUUUUUUUAAACAAACUCAUAUAUUAACAAAUAUGUUAUUAAACAAAUAAAAAUAGAAAUAAUAGUAAUAAUUAUAUAUAUAUAUAUAUAUAUUUAAUAUCUCAAUCUUCAAUUUUUCUUAUUAAUUCAUCUUUUCUAAUUUAAUUUAAUUAUUUCUUAACCAAAAUUAUAUAUAUCUUUUUCUAAUUUUCUGUUUUAAAAAACACAUAUAUUAACCAAAUAUGUUAUUAAAAAAUACAUUAAACAAAUAAAAAUAAUAAUAGUAAUUGAAAGAAGUUGAAACGUACUCUAAAAAUAAUAAUAACAAUAAAUUUGUAAUUGAAAAUUAUCCGUUAAGUUUUUAAAUUUAAUUUGUAAUCGAACCAAUUCUUGUUUUUUUCCUUUUGCCAUAAACAUGAAUUUCUUUUUAUUCAAUUAUCAAUGUGCGUGGCUUCAAGUGUUAUUAUUAUUAUUUUUUUUAGUAAUUUUAACUUAUCUCAAUUAUUAUUAUUACUCUUUUAAUUUGUUUAAUAUAUUUUUAAUAACAUGUUUUGUUAAUAUAUGAGAUUUUUUAACAAAAUUGAAAGUUGGAAAAAAAAUAUAUGUAUAAUUUUGAUUAAGAAAGAAUUAAAUUAAAUUAGAAAAAUGAAUUUAAUAAGAAAAAUUGAAGAUCGAAGAUUGUGAUAUUUAAAUAUAUAUAAAGAAAAAAAUAAAUUAAUUUAAUAAAAAAAGAUAUUUUUAGAAUUUGAAUGUAUAACAUAUAUAUAUUAAAUUAUAUGUGAGUAUGUAUAUAUAAAUAAUGAGAAAAAGUGAAGUGUGUGGGACCUACGUAUAUAAAUAAUGAGAAAAUAAAAAAAUGUGGGGUCCAGUGUUGUAUAAAUAUAAAAAUAAGGAAAAAAUAAAAUAUGUGGGAUCCACUGCAUAAAAGUCGUGGUACACGACUUCACCCCAAAUCACCUAUUUUUAAAAAUAGUUUUGCAUCCACCCUAUUUUUGAUAUAUGUUGCAAAUAUUACAUUAUUUUUAGAAAAAAUCCGUUUUUUGCAAUAACCAGUAAAUCGUUUUAACCUAUCUUCCAAUUAAAAAAAGAACUUGGACAUCCAUUAGAAUACACAACCAGGUGGACCAAACUCAUAAUUUAAACCAAAUUCUUUAUUUUGGUAUUUGUGUAUUUAGUUUUGAUAUCUUUACUGGUUAACAGAUAUAAGUCAGGUAACAUAUGAAUAUUUAGAAACUACAAUCGAAUAGAUUCAAGGAAUGAAAAAUAUAAGUUUGAGAGAUCUUCCUACUUUUCUUAGAACAACAGUUCGAGAUGAUAUCAUGCUCACUUUUAUCAUUCAAGCAAUGGAAAGAUCUAGAGAAGCACCUGUAGAUAACAUUGCUAUAUAAAUUUCUAUAUAUGUUCAUUACUUAUAUCGUUGAUAGAUAUGCUAAUAGGCUUCCAUCAACGUUCAUUUAAAUGAUAAAAAAUAAGAAAUUUAUUUGAAAUAACUUGUAAAUAGUUUAAUCUAUCUUCAAAUUAAAAAAGAAAAAAAAAAAACUUGGACAUCCAUCAGAAUAAAGAACCAUGUGGACCAAACUCAUCAUUUUAACCAAAUUCUUUAUUUUGAAGUUUGUGUAUUUAAAUUUUAAACUCUUUACUGGUUAACAGAUAUGAGUCAGCUAACAGAUGGAUAUUUAGAAACUACAAUCGGAUGGACUCAAGGAAUGAAAAAUAUACGUUUGAGAGACCUUCCUACUUUUCUUAGAACAACAAAUCUAGAUGAUAUUAUGAUCAAUUUUAUCCUUCAAGAAAUGAAAAGAUCUCGAGAAGCAUCUACAAUUAUAUUAAACACAUUUGAUGCAAUCGAAGGAGAUGUCAAAGAUUCUCUUUCAUCUAUCCUUCAGUCUAUUUACACUAUUGGUCCACUUCACAUGCUUGGCAACAAAAUAGAUGAUGAAAAACUAACAGCAAUUGGCUCAAACCUAUGGGCUGAGGAAUCAAAAUGCAUUGAGUGGCUUAACUCUAAGCAGCCCGACUCAGUUGUUUAUGUUAAUUUUGGUAGCAUCACAGUGAUGACACCACAACAAAUGGUUGAGUUUGCAUGGGGAUUAGCUGAUAGUGGGAAGCCAUUUUUGUGGAUUACAAGGCCUGAUUUAAUUGUGGGAGAUUCAGCCAUUAUGCCUCAAGAAUUUGUUACACAGACUAAAGAUAGAAGCUUGAUAUCAAGUUGGUGUAGUCAAGAACAAGUGUUGAGCCAUCCUUCAAUAGGAGGAUUUCUAACACAUAGUGGAUGGAAUUCAACUCUUGAGAGUAUAUGUGCUGGUGUUCCAAUGAUUUCAUGGCCUUUCUUUGCUGAACAACAAACAAAUUGUCGUUAUUGUUGCACUGAGUGGGGGAUUGGAAUGGAGAUUGACAACAAUGUAAAAAGAAAUGAAGUGGAGGAGUUAGUGAGAGAGUUGAUGGAUGGAGAAAAAGGUAAGAAAAUGAAAGAGAAUGUAAUGUAUUUGAAGAGUAAAGCUGAAGAAGCAUAUAAACCAGGUGGUUCUGCUUACAAGCAAUUGGAUAAGCUGAUCAAUGAAGUACUUUUGUCAAACAUAAAGAAGGUUUAAACUUUGGAUACAAAGUUCUCUGCUUUUACACCUAGUUGAUCUGAUUUUCUUCUUUAGGUCUAUGUAUUAUUAUAUUGAAUAUUAUUGCAUGGUUUUCAUUUUUAAAUAAAUUCUCCAAUUUGGUAUUUCAAUUUUCUUGGGUAGAAAACAUAAUUCAGAGUUGUAGUCUUCUUAAUCUACGAGGAUAAACUUGUAUUAGUUUCUUUAACUGAAUAGUUAUUCUUUAUUAGUUUCUAUCACGAUUAGACAUUGAAAAUUUUAUCAGCCUUUAUCAUUGAUAAGCUUCUAGCAUUGAUAGAUGACAUUGAUAGGUUUUUGUAUUUAUUCAUUAGUUAUAGUGUUGAUAUAGAUGAUGCUGAUAGACUUCCAUCAACUUCUAUCUCAAUAAUAAAGAAAUUUAGAAACUUUUCUAAUAACUUGUAAAUAGUUUAACCAAUCUUUCAAUUAAAAAAAAAAAAAACUUGAACAUCUAUUAAAAUACACAACCACCUGGACAAAACUCAUCAUUUAAAAAAAAAAAUCAUUAUUUUGGAAUCUGUGUAUUUAGUUUUGAAAUCUUUACAGGUUAAUAGAUAUGAGUCAGGUAACAGAUGGAUAUUUAAAAACUACAGUCGGAUGGACUCAAGGAAUGAAAAAUAUAUGUUUGAAAGACCUUCCUACUUUACUUGGAACAGUAGUUGAAGAUGACAUUAUGAUCAAUUUUAUCAUUCAAGCAAUGGAAAGAUCUCCAUAAGCAUCUGCAAUUAUAUUAAACACAUUUAAUAUAAUGGAAGGAGAUGUCAAAGAUUCUCUUUCUUUAUUUACACCAUCGGUCCACUUCACAUGCUUUCCAACCAAAUAGAUGAUGAGAAUCUAACAGCAAUUGGCUCAAACCUAUUGGCUGAGGAAUCAGAAUCCAUUGAGUGGCUUAACUCUAAGCAACCCAACUCAGUUGUUUAUGUUAAUUUUGGUAGCAUCACAGUGAUGACACCACAACAAUUGAUUGAGUUUGCAUGGGGAUUCGCUGAUAGUGGGAAGCCACUUUUGUGGAUUACAAGGCCUGAUUUAAUUGUGGGAGAUUCAGCCAUUAUGCCUCAAGAAUUUGUCACACAAACUAAAGAUAGAAGCAUGAUAGCAAGUUGGUGUAGUCAAGAACAAGUGUUGAACCAUCCUUCAAUAGGAGGAUUUGUAACACAUAGUGGAUGGAAUUCAACUCUUGAGAGAGUAUAUGUGCUGGUGUUCCAAUGAUAUGUUGGCCUUUCUUUGGUGAACAACAAACAAAUUGUCGUUAUUGUUGCACUGAGUGGGGGAUUGGAAUGGAGAUUGAUAACAAUGUAAUAAGAAGUGAAGUGGAGGAGUUAGUGGGAGAGUUGAUGGAUGGAGAAAAAGGUAAUUGAAAAUGAAAGAGAAUGUAAUGUAUUUGAAGAGUAAAGCUGAAGAAGCAUAUAAACCAGGUGGUUCUGCUUGCAAGCAAUUGGAUAAGCUGAUCAAUGAAGUACUUUUGUCAAACAUAAAGAAGGUUUAAGCUUUGUAUCCAAAGUUCUCUGCUGUUACACCUGGUUGAUCUGCUUUUCUUCUUUAGGAACCCUAUGUAUUAUUAUAUAUUGAAUAUUAUUGCAUUGUUUUUCUUCAAUAAAUUCUCCUAUUUGAUUUUUUUGAAGAGGAGCUCAUUAAUUAAGUAGGAAAAUGUAUAUAAAGAUUGUGGUAUAUGUUAGAUUGGAUCUCUUUCAGAAAAGCAUGUUGUAAAACUCUCUAAUCCUAACGACGUUGGUGAUAUGUAGUUUGAAUUAUUCUUUUUAAAAAUAAAUUGCACUUUUUUGUUUGUUUCACGAAUAUAACUAACACAUGGUUAGUUAAGCAAGCAAACAAUCUCUAUAUAUUUGAUUCUACAUUGUAUACAUAUAUUUUUCUUCUUUUAUCUUAAUUAAUGGUGAAUUUGUAACCGUGUCUUUCCAUUUUAUCUAUAUAUAUGUGCAAGAGAUCUCUUAACAUCCUCCUAUUGUUGUUGGUAUGAAUUUGAAAAUUCGUAAAAUUCAAAUAAUAGUAAAAGGUCCUCAUUAAACAUUAACAACUUAUCUUAAAAUGAAUUUGAAAUUUUUUAUCCAAACAAACCAUUUAAUUUGAAGUGCCACAAGCACUAUAAAUCAUUAUUAUUAUUAGAAAAUUUAUGAAAAAUAGCAAAUUUGACAGAAUAUUUACAAGUUAUAACACAAUUUCAUAUAUGUCAAUAUAUACCAAACAGUGAUAUCCUUCUAUCUAUGGCAUUGAAACUUACUGACUAUCUUUUGUAGAAUCUACAAAUUUUGAUACAUAUGAUAAAUAUUUUAAUUUAUUUUGCUAUUUUAAAAACUAUUUCGAAUAGUUUUAUUUGACAAUGGAUCGUUUGUCCAUCCAUUUAUUAUGACAACCAUAAGUAACAUCUGUAGUGGUCACGAUGGUUUUUUUGUUUUCUGUUCUUUUCGCGAGAUUCAUAUAUUAAUAAAUAAUUGAGAUACAUACAUUAAUCAAUCAACCAUCCAAAACCAAAAAGAUAUUUAUAAGUUCAAAUUAUCUUCUUGCUUCACCAGCUUAUAAGAAUAUUAGAAUUCUUACAUUUUUGUUUCUCAGAAAACUGAGCAAUUCCCCAUUUCAAGAAGAUCAAGAAAUUCAAUGAUGGAAUCUGUCUCACAGACUGAAAAACCACAUGCUGUAUGUAUCCCAUAUCCAGUCCAAGGCCAUAUCACCCCUAUGCUAAUGCUUGCUAAGCUUCUCCAUCACAGAGGUUUCUACAUAACUUUUGUCAAUACCGACUACAAUCAUCGUCGUCUUCUCCAAUCGAGAGGCCCCAACUCGCUCGAUGGCUUGCAAGAUUUUAAGUUCCGAACCAUUCCCGACGGCCUUCCUUACUCGGACGCCAACUGUACUCAAGAUAUUCCAGCACUCUGUGAAUCCACCUCCAAGAAUUGCUUAGCCCCUUUUUGUGAUCUUAUUUCACAACUUAACUCAAUGGCAGCUUCUCCUUCCAGUAAUAUGCCACCAGUUAGCUGCAUUGUUAGUGAUGCUGUUAUGUCUUUCUCUAUGUUGGCUGCCAAUGAGUUUAAAAUCCCUCAUGCUUUUCUUUGGACUGCUAGUGCUUGUGGCUAUCUUGGUUACUUCCAAUAUGAGCAUCUCAUUAAACAAGGCUUGAUUCCUCUUAAAGGUAUGGUUUCAUUUUAAUCUGUUUUCUUUUCUUUUUUAUGUCAAUCUUUGUUCAAAAUGGAUUUUUGUGUGGUAGAAUUUUAUUUUAAAAAUUAUGUUUUAACUUUUUUAUGGACAUUUUAGCAUAAUCAACUAAAAUAUUUAUAAAAUAUAUCAAAAUUUUACAGAUAUUGAUAGACAUAAAUAGACUUAUAUUAGUAUUAAUUGAUACUAAAUUUUUUCAAUUUUAUUUCUAAUAAAUCUAUAAAUUUAAAAAGUUUCUAAUAAUUAUAUACUUAAUUUUUUUUUCAUCUAACUCUUUCAACUUUUAAUGUUAUCUUUUUAUCAAGUCUUUCAUCCAUUUCAACAUUUUAAAAGUUACAAGUUUAAUUAUGUUCAUUAGACCCAAAACAAAUUUUCAUUCCAAAUUUUUUUAAAAAAAUUUAUAGAACAUGUCAAAAACCUAAGAAUGACAUAUAUAUUUUGAGAGGAUAUGAAUUUGAAAAUUUAGAAACAAAUGAGAUGCUUAUCGUUUCAAGAGAAAUUUUCAUGGUUAGAUAAGAUGCCAAACAAUUGAGAGUGAUAGACUUUUACCACCUCUAAAGUCUUAGUUCUGUCAGUUAGUGUUAGUGAUAGGCUUCUCAUUAUCCAUUUCUAUUAUUGAUAGACACCGAUAAACUUGUAUUAGUUUUUAAUAUUGAUACAUGACAUUGAUACAUAGAUUUCUAGAUGUGUUUAACCUAUAUUUUCUAAAUUUCUUAUCAACAUAUAUUCGAAAGAUAAGAAAUUUAAAGUUUUUCGCAAUAACCAGUACAUCGUUUAACCUAUCUUCCGAUUAAAAAAAGAACUUGGACAUCGAUUAGAAUACACAACCAGGUGGACCAAACUCAUAAUUUAAACCAAAUUCUUUAUUUUGGUAUUUGUGUAUUUAGUUUUGAUCUCUUUACUGGUUAACAGAUAUAAGUCAGAUAACAGAUGAAUAUUUAGAAACUACAAUCGAAUGAACUCAAGAAAUGAAAAAUAUAAGUUUGAGAGAUCUUCCUACUUUUCUUAGAACAACAGUUCGACAUGAUAUCAUGCUCACUUUUAUCAUUCAAGCAAUGGAAAGAUCUAAAGAAGCACCUGUAGAUGACAUUGAUAUACAAAAUUUUAUAUAUGUUCAUUACUUAUAUCGUUGAUAGAUAUGCUAAUAGGCUUCCAUUAACAUUCAUAUAAAUGAUAAAAAUAAGAAAUUUAUUUGCAAUAACUUGUAAAUAGUUUAAUACACCCAUUAGAAUAUACAACCAUGUGGACCAAACUCAUCAUUUUAACCAAAUUCUUUAUUUUGAAGUUUGUGUAUUUAAGUUUUGAACUCUUUACUGGUUAACAGAUAUGGAUCAGGUAACAAAUGGAUAUUUAGAAACUACAAUCGAAUGGACUCAAGGUAUGAAGAAUAUACGUUUGAGAGACCUUCCUACUUUUCUUAGAACAACAAAUCUAGAUGAUAUUAUGUUGAAUUUUCUCCUUCAAGAAAUGAAAAGAUCUCGAGAAGCAUCUACAAUUAUAUUAAGCACAUUUGAUGCAAUCGAAGGAGAUGUCAAAGAUUCUCUUUCAUCUAUCCUUCAGUCUAUUUACACUAUUGGUCCACUUCACAUGCUUGGCAACAAAAUAGAUGAUGAAAAACUAACAGCAAUUGGCUCAAACCUAUGGGUUGAGGAAUCAGAAUGCAUCGAGUGGCUUAACUCUAAGCAGCCCAACUCAGUUGUUUAUCUUAAUUUUGGUAGCAUCACAGUGAUGACACCACAACAAAUGGUUGAGUUUGCAUGGGGAUUAGCUGAUAGUGGGAAGCCAUUUUUGUGGAUUACAAGGCCUGAUUUAAUUGUGGGAAAUUCAGCCAUUAUGCCUCAAGAAUUUGUUACACAAACUAAAGAUAGAAGCUUGAUAGCAAGUUGGUGUAGUCAAGAACAAGUGUUGAACCAUCCUUCAAUAGGAGGAUUUCUAACACAUAGUGGAUGGAAUUCAACUCUUGAGAGUAUAUGUGCUGGUGUUCCAAUGAUUUCAUGGCCUUCCUUUGCUGAACAACAAACAAAUUGUCGUUAUUGUUGCACUGAGUGGGAGAUUGGAAUGGAGAUUGACAACAAUGUAAAAAGAAAUGAGGUGGAGAAGUUAGUGAGAGAGUUGAUGGAUGGAGAAAAAGGUAAGAAAAUGAAGGAGAACGCAAUGUUUUUGAAGAGUAAAGCUGAAGAAGCAUAUAAACCAGGUGGUUCUGCUUACAAGCAAUUGGAUAAGCUGAUCAAUGAAGUACUUUUGUCAAACAUAAAGAAGGUUUAAACUUUGUAUCCAAAGUUAUCUGGUCCUUACACCUAUUAGAUCUGCUUUUCUUCUUUAAUAACCUAUGUAUUAUUAUAUUGAAUAAUGUUGCAUGGUUUUUUUUUCAAUAAAUUCUCCUAUUUAAUAUUUUGAAGAGUAUCCCAUUUAAUUAAGUAGGAAAAUGUACUGUAUAAAGAUUAUGGUAUAUGUUAGAAUGGUAAUCUGCGUAUUUGUAGUAGCAGAGAGAAGCGUAUUGUAUAACUCUCUAAUUCUAAAGGUAUUGUUAUUGAACCAUCUACACCUUAUAUGCAUUUUUCUACUUUUGUCUUGAUUAUUUGUGGAUUCGUAGCAGUGUCUUUCCAUUUUAUAUAAAUAUAUGUGCAUGAGAUCCCUCAACAUUCUCGUUAUUAUGUUAUUAUGUUAUGAUUGUUGUUGGCAUAAAUUUGAAAAUGAGUAGCGUGACACAAAUCCAAAUAGUAGUAAAAGGUUCUCAUGAAAAAAGAACUAUUAACUACUUGACCUAGAAAGAUGUUUGGGGAUAAUUUUAUUAUUAGAGUAGAAAGAAAGAGUAGAAAGAAAGUGGAAUCCGAGAUUUAUGUUGAGAGUAAGUAUUAAAGAUUAUUGCCAUGUUUGAUCAGCAAGUAUUAAAGAAUUAAGUGAAAUUCAAUUAGUACUACUAGGUUGUUGUUCGAUCGAUAGUCGUAUUUUGUUAAAGAUAACUGUUAUAGUCUCCUUGCAAUCAAUGUAAAAUGAAUAGUUGUCUUUAGAACCAUGCUUAUCAAAAGUGUGUCUUGACGACUUGUUGAUCUUGAGGUUUUUAUGAGUUUAUGGUUAUUUCAACAUAUAGACUUUGGUUAUUUAAUAUCGUAUUACUUUUGAAAAUUGUUGUGUGAUCUAUGCUUGUUAGUUUGUUUGCAAUAAUUAUUUGUAUUCAACUUAGUUGUAAUCAAUUUUGCAGUCUUUUUAUUACAAAUUUUGACCAAAGAAAAAUACAUUUGACAUUCACGUGACAACAUCAAUAAGUUUGUAAUUUAAGAAAGAGGUGAGAAUUGCAAAAAAAAAGAGAAAAUAUUAGAGUAGAGCGUCUAAUUUCUUUAGUAUUAUUUAGUAAGAGACCUAAAUAAUAUUGAAGAAGUUAACCUCUUUUAAAUACCUCAUAAGAAAGCAUUUCUCGCGUGUUAUUACAUAUAUAUUUUACAAUAUACAUCUAAUUGUUGUCUUACGUUAUAUUAAACAUGGUCUAUUAUAGUCUAAUUCAACUAUAACAUCAAAGUUUCAUUAACUAAUUAUAAUAAAUUUCAUUCAUUUCUAUCUCCAUAAAUUUUCAUAAAAUCGAAUUCAUGAGGAAUGUAAUUUGAUAUUUUGAACCUUGCAACCCACCUAAUUUUAGCUAGUUAUAUAUAUAUAUAUAUAUAUUAGUCCAAUCAAUAAAUUACUAGUACUAGUUUCUUAUUCUAAUUCACUCAAUUAAAAUUAGAAUUGGUGAAAAGUAUUAAUUUGUAGAAUUUGAAUUGAUAUUUAAUCUGAAGGGGGCGGAUAUGGUACAAAUGAUUAAUUGUUAUACUGUUGUUUUUAUUUGGCAAUGCAUUAUUGGUUCAAUCCUUUAAUAUAACAUAACGAUAAGUAGGCACUCACGGUGGUCUUUUGUUCUAUUCCCAAGAUUCAUAUAUUAAUAAAUAAUUAAGAGACAUAUGAUCUGCAUAAUCAAUCAAUAAUCCAAAAGCAAAAAAGAUAUUUAUAAGUUCAAACUACUUCUUGCUUUUGUAGCCUGUAAGAAUAUUAGAAUUAUUUCUCCAAAAACUGAGCAAUUCCCCAUUUCAAGAAGAAAAGAAAAGAAGAUCAAGAAAUUCAAAGAUGGGAUCUGUCUCACACACUGAAAAACCACAUGCUGUAUGUAUCCCAUAUCCAGCCCAAGGCCAUAUCACCCCUAUGCUAAUGCUUGCUAAGCUUCUCCAUCACAAAGGUUUCUACAUAACUUUCGUCAACACCGACUACAAUAAUCGUCGUCUUCUCCAAUCCAGAGGCCCCAACUCGCUCGAUGGCUUGCAAGAUUUUAAGUUCCGAACCAUUCCCGACGGCCUUCCUUACUCAGAUGCCAACUGUACUCAAGAUAUUCCAGCACUCUGUGAAUCCACCUCCAAGAAUUGCUUAGCCCCUUUUUGUGAGCUUAUUUCACAACUCAACUCAAUGGCAGCUUCUCCUUCUAGUAAUAUGCCACCAGUUAGUUGUAUUGUUAGUGAUGCUAUUAUGUUUUUCUCUGUGAUGGCUGCCAAUGAGUUUAAAAUCCCUUAUGCUUUUAUUUGGACUGCUAGUGCUUGUGGCUACCUUGGUUACUUCCAAUAUGAGCAUCUCAUUAAAAAAGGCUUGAUUCCACUUAAAGGUAUGGUUCCAUUUUAAUGUGUGUUUUCUUUUCUUUUUUUCAUUUUUUUUCGAUCUUCCUUAAAAAUGAAUUUUUGUGUGGUAGAAUUUAAAAUUAAAAAUAAAAUUUAAAUUUUAGGGAGACUUUUUCAAAAAUGGUAUAAUCAACUAAAAUAUUUACAAAAUAUAUCAAAAUUUCAAAUCUUAUCCAUAGUAGAUAUAGAUAGAUUUCGCUCUUACUUGCUAUAUUUGAUAUAAUAACUUUUCUUAAUUUUAUUUUUAAUAAAUUCUUUUUUUUUAAAAAAAAAUGAUAGAACAUGUAAAAAAAAUUAACCUAAGAAUGACAUAUAUACUUAUUAGGAUAAAAAUUUGAAAAUUUAGAAACAAGUCAGAUACUUAUAUGUUUCAAGAGAAUACUUAUAUGUUUCAAGAGAAUUUUUUGUGGGAUAGACUUGUAUCAGUUUAAUUCUAUCACGUGAUAUAGUUAGUGUUGAUGAUGAGCUUCUCUCUGUCAAUUUCAAUCACAGAUAGAUAUUGAUAAACUUCUAUCAGCCUUUAUCAAUGAUAAGCUUCUAGUAUUGAUAGAUGACACUGAUAGAUUUCUACCUGUGUUUAGCCUGGAUUUUCUAAAUUUUUUAUUAGCGUCUAUCAGAAUGAUAAGAAAUUUAGAAUUUUUUGCAAUAACUAGUAAGUAGUUUAACCUAUCUUCCAAUUAAAAAAAGAACUUGGACAUCCACUAGAAUACACAAUCAUGUGGACCAAACUCAUCAUUUUAACCAAAUUCUUUAUUUUGAUGUUUGAGUAUUUAGUUUUGAUCUCUUCCCUGGUUAAUAGAUAUGAGUCAGGUAACAGAUGGAUAUUUAGAAACUACAAUCAGAUGGACUCAAGAAAUGACAAGUAUACGUUUGAGAGACCUUCCUACUUUUCUUAGAACAACAGUUCGAGAUGAUAACACCAUCAUUUUUGUUAUUCAAGCAAUGGAAAGAUCUCGAGAAGCAUCUGCAAUUAUAUUAAAUACAGUCGAUGCAAUCGAAGGAGAUGUCAAAGAUUCUCUUUCUUCUAUCCUUCAGUCUAUUUACACCAUUGGUCCACUUCACAUGCUUGCCAACCAAAUAAAUGAUGAAAAACUAACAGCAAUUAGCUCAAACCUAUGGGCUGAGGAAUCAGAAUGCAUUGAGUGGCUUAACUCUAAGCAACCCAACUCAGUUGUUUAUGUUAAUUUUGGUAGCAUCACAGUGAUGACACCACAACAAAUGAUUGAGUUUGCAUGGGGAUUAGCUGAUAGUGGGAAGCCAUUUUUGUGGAUUACAAGGCCUGAUUUAAUUGUGGGAGACUCAGCCAUUAUGUCUCAAGAAUUUGUCACACAAACUAAAGAUAGAAGCUUGAUAGCAAGUUGGUGUAGUCAAGAACAAGUGUUGAGCCAUCCUUCAAUAGGAGGAUUUGUAACACAUAGUGGAUGGAAUUCAACUCUUGAAAGUAUAUGUGCUGGUGUUCCAAUGAUAUGUUGGCCUUUCUUUUCUGAACAACAAACAAAUUGUCGUUAUUGUUGCACUGAGUGGGGGAUUGGAAUGGAGAUUGAUAACAAUGUAAUAAGAAGUGAAGUGGAGGAGUUAGUGAGAGAGUUGAUGGAUGGAGAAAAAGGUAAGAAAAUGAAAGAGAAUGUAAUGUAUUUGAAGAGUAAAGCUGAAGAAGCAUAUAAACCAGGUGGUUCUGCUUACAAGCAAUUGGAUAAGCUGAUCAAUGAAGUACUUUUGUCAAACAUAAAGAAGGUUUAAACUUUGUAUCCAAAGUUCUCUGCUUUACACCUAGUCGAUCUGCUUUUCUUCUUUAAGAACGUUUGUAUUACUAUAUUGAAUAAUUGCAUGGUUUUUCUGUUUCAAAAAAUCCUGCUAUUUGAUAUUAUGCAGAGUAUCUCAUUAAUUAAGUUUAGCUAAGAAGUAAUUAAGUUUAGCUAAGAAGUGUGUUGUAUAAAUUCUCUAAUUCUAAUAGCGUUUUUGAUAUGUAAUCUUAAUCAUUCUUUUUAAUAAUAAAUUACUCUUAUUUUUGUUCAUGGAUGCAUCUAACACGUGGUCGUUAGUUAAUCACAUAAAUAAUCUCAAUAUUGAUUCUACUUUAUAUAUUUUUUUCUGCUUUCAUCUCAAUUAUUCGUGGAUUCAUAACAAUGCUUUUCCAUUUUAUCAAUAACCUUUGGUUAUGUAAUAUCACUCUACUUUUCAAAUUUGUUGUUGAAUGGGAUGUGUUUGUCCGUUUGUGGUGCAAUUGUUUGUAUCCAAUUUAGCUGUAAUCAAUUUUGCAGUUUUUAAUUAUAAAUUUUGACAAAAUAAAAAAUACAUCUAACAUUCACGUCACAACAACAAUAACUAAUUUGUAAUUUAGGAAAGAGGUGACUUGCAAAACAAAGAAAAAAUAUCGAAGAAGUUAGACGUAUUUUAAUACCUCAUAUGAAAGUAUUAGUAUUAGUGGUGUAUUUAUAUAGAAAGCGAACUUAAAUUGUUCCUUAGAGAUUUCGAGUUGCCUUAUAAUGAUUAGGUUUCAUGGUUUCCUAGGGUCGACCUUAGAUCAAGCAUCUUCGUUAUGCCACAUUUUAGGUCCAAAAUGAUCAUCUCAUCGAUUGGGGCAUGUGUGAAGCCAAGCGCGUUGUCAGCCUCCUUUUCCUAGGCCAAUGUUGAUCUUUAGUUGCUCGACAUGUACCAUACAUUUUCUUGAUUUUGUCAUUUCUAAUAAUGUUAAUGUCAAUUAUACACUUUUGUCUAAAACUAACAGUAGUUUUAUUCAAUUAUUAUCCGCAACCUGUUUCCUUGAUAAUGCUUAGACGAGCAAUUGAAAAGAAUCAAAUAUAACAUAUAGUAUCUUGAUGUGAAUUAAACAGAAAGUAUUCUACUAUUGGUGAUUCCAAAUUAAUAAAGUCUUGCUUUCAAACCUCUCCAAUUAAGGCUAAUAUUAUUAAUAUAGAGUACUAUAUUUGAUGUAACAGCCAAACCACCACAACCACCAACACAGAAUUGUGGUAGAUAAAUUUAAUGGGAGAUUCAGCCAUUUUUGCCACAAGAAGAAUUUGUUAACAGAAGUAAAGAUUAGAAGGUUGAUAAAAAGUUGGUGUUGUCAAGAGAACAAGUGUUGAACCAUUCUUCAUAACUCAACUAUUGAUCAAAGUAUAUGAAAUGAGUGUUUCAAUGACGAUAUCAUCAUUGCCUUUCUAUGCUGAACAAUAACAAACAAAUUGUCAUUAUUGUUGCACUGAGUGGGAGAUUGGAAUGGAGAGGUUGACAAUAAUGUCAAAAGAAAUGAAGUGGAGGAGUUGGUGAGACAGUCGAUGGAUGGAAAGAAAAUUAAAUUAAGCGUAAGAAAUGAAAAAGUGAUGUGAAUUUGAAGAGUAAAGCUGAAGAGGCAUAUGAAAUUUGUUGGUUGUUCUUCUAUAAAAAAUAAAUUGUUUCUAGAAUUGUUUUGUAAUUUUCCACACAUAUUUCUAGAGUGACAUAUUUUCAUGAUCUAUAUUAUUAAUAAAUUAAACACACAUAUUAGUACUUGUUUUAUUUAGGUCAUGUAUUUAACAAGUUUUUGUGUUGUAGUUUAACAUUCGGUUCUAGGCGUUGAUCACAUGCAUCCAAGUGACCAAGUUUUAGGUGUCCAGACAUUUAAACGUCUUGUUGCUUUGAGUAUCCUAUUUCACUACUGCAUCUUUCAGUAUUUACACCAAUAGUAAAUAUUUUUCAGCAAUUUUAUCAUUUCAACGUAAACCCUUAAACUAAAAAAAAAGACGUUAAAAAGUAAUAUUAUUAAUACAUUGAUAGAACACUGGGUGUUUUUAUUCAAUUGAUAUAUACCUCUCAAGGAAGAGAGUAGAAAAACUACCACAAAAUUGAUCUCCCUUCCUUUCCUCACCAACUUCCCUAUUUAUAACCAUCAAACGGUUACAUAUUUAAUUACGCUUAUAUCUCUGUACUAUACUAAUUUAAGUAUCUAACAUACAUUUUUACACCAGCAUUCAAAAUAAAAACAAAAAAUUUAAGUUACAACAUAAAAUUCCACAAAAUCUCACAAAAUUCUAAAAUAAAUUGUUCUCCUAAGAACAUACUUUUUAAAGACAUUCUUGGAGAGACGACGAGUAUACGUGAGGUGACGACUGAGGAUGACGAGGAGUUGAGGAAGUUUGAUGGUGGAUGGGUUUUUUUAGGGUUUUUGACAUUUAUGGCUCAUUUACCUCUCCCAAACGCAACUUCCUUAUUCCAUUGUUACCUAAUGGGGCACACAUUAUUACAAGUGGAAGUUGAAAUUUAAUCUUAUUUUACACAUUUGGUUCACAGAUGUAAUAAGCUGUCCCAAGAACAGGUCAACCAAAUUGGAACUAAGAAAAGAACAGUUUGAGAAACCAAGGAAGAAUAAAAUCUUUCCCUAAAACCAAAGCAACUGACCAACCACCAAAUUAAACUCACAAAUCAACAACAACAAAAUAGUUAUCCAUAAUUAUCAAGAGAAAAUAAAAGGAAGUGACUGAUGAAUCUAGAUUCAAUCUGAGAAAUGAAGAAAAAUCGAUUAUAUACCACGAGAAAUAGGGAAUGGAUGCAGAGAUAAUACAUGGACAAUCUAUACACAAAGAUCAUAUAUAAAAACAAGAGUAGACCCACAAUCCCCAAGUCUAUGAAAGAAAUUAUUCUCCUAAGGGAAAUAAUAUCUAAAAUCUUUCUCAAUCCAAAAAUAAUCAACCAAUAUCUCGGCAGUGAAAACACUUACCAAAAGCUCAUUGAAACCUCAGCAUCUGCUGGGCAGCACUUCGAAACACCUCAAAAAGUACAACCUGGCCUCCAAAAGGCAAACACCAUGGGUAAACACAAUCUUGCAUUAAUACUUAAUGGGUUAUCAAGUAAUACAAACAAUAAAAUCCAUAUGAUAUUGAAUUAUUAUCUAGCCCACAACUUUCAUCAGACCACAAUAGUUAGAAGUUCAAUAAACCAUCUUUUAUCAAAGACUAGUGAAAAUAUGUUAGGUACCGAAAUAGGAAUAUUAGUAUGUUGUAUGUUAGUAUUAAGGGAUGUAUUGGUUAUUAGAUGGAAAGUUAGUUAUAUAAAUAGUACGAGGGCGAGUGAGUGGAAGGAGAGAGUAUUUUGUGUAGUAAUCUAGGGCUAUGAUGACAGCACUCAAGAGAGGGUUCCAAGUACCAUAAACUUCGUUAAUAUUGUAGUUUCUUCUUUAAUUUUUAAUAUAUUUUAGAUCUUGAUUCUUGUUAGGAAGUAUCCUAACAAAAUAGUUUCAAAAAGAGAAGUCUGUCGAAGUUUUCAUUAGAAGAAAAGAGGUGUAUGCCACCAUCCUGCAAAAAGUUUGGCCCUGGCCCAUACAUUUAAGCCCUUAUGCAAAAAAACAAUUCAUAGCAUCUUAAACCAAACAUGUAAAAGUUGUCCAGAGAAGUCAUCAAUAGUCCAUUUCAUUAACAAAAAAUCCCAAUCCAAUAUAUCAUCCAUUAGCUCUAAACUAUUAUGGUUGAGUGUUGGAUAUUACACAUCUUUUCAUCAAUCUUGCCUUAGCAAAACUUCACGUAAGUACAAGUUCAGGUGUUGAUAAUGACCCAUUUUUUCCUUAGUAGGUUGCUUAACAAAAGUUCUUAACAUCUACCAGAAAAUUAUUCAAGUACAAUAUUUCUCUAAGUCAAGCUUAAAAUUGGAGCACAUCAUAUGUUAGCAUCUCUUUAAAUAGUCGUUCAAACAAUGAUUGUUUGCACAUGUGAUUUGUUAUUUCUCUACAGUCUCUACAGUGAAUAAAGCCCGACUAAAUUUCACUAAACUACCAAACAAACGCAACAAAAUUUGAAUGCAAACAAAAAAUAUACAUGAAACAGGGUACCCAAAUAAGAGCCGAUAAGUACCUAUUAUGAGGACUCACAGACUUGAAACUAUCACUUCAACAAGCCCCAAUCAGCAAAUUCAAUUAGAAAUUUUUAAAACCUUUGAAAAGGAAACAAAUGUUUUAAAACCCCAAAACACUUCAACAAAUCAAAAUUCUUGAAUAGAAUACAGUCAAAUAUAAGACCUUAGUAAAAAAGAAAUCAAACCUUAUCACUUGAGGGGACAAAAUUAUUGCUAGCCAGUCUCAUCACUCCUCGGGUUGUUGGUGCCAAAGGAAAGAUGCAGUUGCCAACCCUUGAGUUCUACGAGCAGAAGGAGACGACUGACGAUGAGUGCAUUUAUUGCUACUCGUGCAUGGGAGUCCUGCACAAUGAAAGUUCAAAAACUUUGUAUGCCACUUAAUAACUACAAAAUAUAAAUUCAAAAAUCUUUUCAAUAGUGAAAAAUUACCAACUACAUCAUGGCGGCCUAACUGAAUAAUUUCUCAAGAAACACCAACUACCUUCAUUACAUUACAAUAAAGCUGAAAAUCCACCCAUUAGAUCAUAAAAAUGACCAAUGUUACAAAAACAAUUUGGCUGCCAGUUAGAAUUUCCUACCUCAUAUCCUUAGAUUUAAGCUGAUUGGCAAUCAUCUCUGAAUUUGUUAGGAACUCUUUAGAACUAAUCCAAGAAAAUGGGUCAUAGGAGUUCCACGGUGGAAGGGCAGCACAUUCUGGUCCAGUUUGUGAGGACACUCUGAAACAAAUUGUUAUUUUCUUUAUCCAUAUUACAUAGUACUAAAAAAUGAAGCAUAAGUCACAUCUGGCUUUAAAGCUACGAACCUCUUUAUUUUCACUUUCAAAGAGGUCUUGAAUCAAAUCCCUAUAUAACCGAACUGCUCUUAUAAAUUAAUGUUUAUGUAAAUCAUUGAACCCCUCUUCGUGAAUGAACUACUCGCUCUCCGAUCCUAAAACCAAAAUAAAUACCCAUAAUCAAUAAAUCAAAAAAAAAAGCAAGAGGUGAUAAAUUUAAUUUAGUCAUUCAAAUUUGAGAAGAAAUCACAAAAUAACACAAUUGAAUUACAUUUACAACAAUUAAACUGUCACUGAAUACAGAAACAUUCAAUAGAUGAAUUAAUUUCUUUCCAAACUUUGCCCUGCUUCCCAUCUGUGAAAUUAAACAGCUACAGCCUAUCGCAUCCCAUGAGUAGAAUUUAUAAAAACCUACAAAUAAUACAAUGUCAAAAACAAAUUUCACUCGAUCAGGAGACCCACAACACUACCCUUUUCUCUCUAGAAUUAAAGUAAAACAAAAGAGGAAAAAUGAAAACCUUAAGUGGAGACAUAAAUACCCAACCUACAUGUCACCUAUUCGCAUCAGAUGACUGAGAACAUCAAAUCUUUCAAAACCCCAAGUGGACUCGCAGACCUAGGAGCAAUGACUCAAGCAGGAAGUGCUAGAGAGAGUUGAGAGAAUGAGAGAGCAACAAUCGUGCAGUUGUGGCUGCUUUCAACGUUGAGAGGAGUUGGUCAAAAAAAAGAGUUAAUGUGAGAAAGAGAAAAUCGAAGAAGAUGAUGGGGGAUGGGUGUGUUGUGGCUACUUUCACGCAAAGGAGGUAGGGUUUUUCAACAAAAAUGAGAGAUAAUGGAAAAUAAAAUAGAGAAUAUUAUAUAGUUUGUGUACUUGAUAUUACUUGACUUUUUUAAAAUGUCAAGUUUAGGCAAGCUUGAAAAUAUAUGAAAGAUUCCGUGAAACUCCGCUUUUUUAUUAUUAUUCUUGACCUUUUCUGGAAAAGAUACAUGUUACUUGACAUUUAAAUAAUUAAAAGUUGCAUGCAUCACGUAAUGUCAAUUUUGUAGUAGGGAAUUGAACUUGAGAAGAAACUUUGAUGUUUGAUUACAUUUAAGUCAUGCUACAUGUGAAUUGUGCUGGUAUGAACUAAUACAAAUCAAAUAAAAUUCUAACCUCAAAGUUUCGUCUGAAUUUUUCCAUCACCAAUAGCUUCUACAAGAACAUGAGCCUUUCUUGAAAUGAUGGAACCUACUCGAGUCUCUCAAUACGAUCUCGUGGUCAAUAAUCAUGGAAAUGUAGGUUAAGGCACUGUGGCAAUCACCGCAGAUGCGCAAAUUCUUGUGUAUCCGAAUUGGCUGUCCUGGGGCUGUUGUUAAAAUCCCAUAAGCAACAGCCAACUUUUCACUAUGCUCAAACAGGAGAUCACCUUUCUCUUCAUCAUCAACAUCAUGAAGAGCAAAGCUCGUUUGAGGAACGUACCCCAUGUCUUUUAUUCGUUUAAUCAAAUCCAAAAGAAGAUUGUAUAUUUGCUCUGAUUCUGGAUGACUUCUAUCACCUACAAAGAAAGUUGUAGUGCUUUUCUUCCCUUGUAUCCAACUACAUCCCGGCCUCUUUCUGAUCCCGGUAUGCUUCAUCAAUGACCUAAUUCUUGCUACGUCUUUCCAACGUCGUGCAUUUGCAUACAAGUUUGAAAGUAAUGUGUAUGAACCAUCGUUCUCUGCCCCUAACUCUGUCAAUUUACUUGCUGCAUAUUCCCCAAGCUCAAUAUUUGCAUGGAUUCUACUGGCACUUAAUAAUGCCACCCAUACAACUGCAGUCGGCUCCAUUGACAUGUUUUUGAUGAGUUCCAUUGCUUCGUUAAGACGACCUGCACGACCCAAGAGAUCGACCAUACAUGCAUAAUGUUCGGCUCCAGGGGUAAUCCCAAAGCCCUUGACCAUAUCGUGGAAGUAGAUCAUGCCUUGAUCCACCAUUCCAGAGUGACUACAAGCAUAUAAAACGACAAGAAAGGUAAUCCCAUCAACAGCAAAACCCAGUUUCUGCAUUUGAUCAAAAAGAUGCAAAGCUUCUUCACCACGACCAUGCAUACCAUAGCCCGUCAUCAAAGAAGUCCAAGAAACAACAUUUCGUAAUUUCAUGUUGUCAAACACAGCUCGAGCAGCAUCAAUGUCCCCCGAUUUGGAAUACAUGUCAAUGAGGCAAUUGCCUACAUAUAAAACCUCAGACUCAUUUUCAUUCCGCAAAGCAUAGGCAUGGAGUUGUCUUCCAAGCCUUAACUCGCCCAAACGUGCACAAGCCAUCAAGGCACAUGAUAGAGUAAAGGCGUUAGGCUUUAAAGAGGUCUUCUGUUUAAAUAUCUGAGCAAACAGUUUUAAUGCAUCAUUGGCUUCCCCAUGCUGAGCAUAUCCACCAAUCAUCACAGUCCAAGUCACCACAUUCUUGUCUUUUCCUUCUAUCGAGUCAAAAAUGCUGCGAGCGACUCUAUAGCUUUUGCAUUUAGCAUACAUAUCAAUUAGACCGUUGAGAACCAACAAGUCGUCCUCUUUAUCAUUCCAAUUCAAGUUGAGAAUAUUUUUUAUGACAUACGCAUGUGUUUGCUUCCCAUAAAGCAAUGCUCCCACAGAUGCACAACCUGAAAGAAGAGACGCGAGAGUAACAACAUUGGGCUCCAACCCAUAAAGCUGCAUUUGUCUAAAUACAUCAAGGGCUUCAAAACCAUGCCCCUUUUGAGCGUACCCAGCAAUUACAGCACUCCACGUUAUCACAUCUAACUUGAUAUCUUCCUCUUGCAUCAUCUUAAACAAGGAAAGGGCACUAUCAAAGCUACCAAUCUGAGAAUACCCGGUGACCAUAGCAUUCCAAGAAACCACAUCCUUCUUCUUUAUCCCCUCAAAGACCUUGUUCGCCUCAUUCAUCUUUGAGCAUUUGGCAUACAUACUCACGAGAGCAUUGCCUACAAAUACAUCAUCCACCAAUCCAUUUCGUACUGAAAAUCCAUGUACCUGCUUACCAUGUUGAAGUGCAAAUACUGACGCACAAGCAGGAAGAAUAUUCACAAGCGUGAUUGCAUCCGGGCGAAGUUUAAGACUGUAGUGGUUACCCAUUCGAAAAGCAAUUCUAAGGGCAGUUCUUGACUGCCCACCUUGUACAUAAGCAGCAAGAAUUGAAUUCCAAGACACAAUGUCUUCAAUCUUUCUUUCAAGCACCUCAUCGAACAUUUGGUGUGCAUCAUCCAAUGCCCCACAUCGCCCGUACAUAGCCACAAUUGAAUUACAAAUAAAUACAUUUGACCCUAAUCCAUUUGCACAAACUAUGGCAUGAACUGAAGCACCAUGCCGUAACGAUGGUAUCUCACCACAGGCUUUGAGAACAAAAGGAAAGGUGUAAUGGUCAGGCAACCACCCAAGCCUCUGCAUCUGACAAUAAAAACCCAAUGUAUCAUCAAGGAGACCAAGUUUCACAGAGCGUCGAAUCAGUGCAUUCCACCAGAAAACGGUGGAAUGUGACGGUAUAAGACGUUGGAGGAGUGAUACAGCUUCUGCAGAAGCACCACACUCGAUAUAGGCACCAACGGCGUAGCUGAACAUUUCGGUGAAGCCAUGGACAAAAAUUUGCUGGUGAGCAAGCUUCGCAUUGAUCAACGUCUUGCAUUGUCUCAAUAAGGAAAUGAGGGGAAUGGUGGGAGGAGAAGUUGUAAAAGUAGAAUAGAAAUGAACUGAGGUGAUGAGGAUUCGACUAAGAUAUGAACCACAAUGGUGAUGUAUCAUAACACUGAAGAUUGAAAAAGAACUCGAGAAAAUGGACAUGAAUAUUACUUAAAGUGAAGCAGUCUUAGAGUGAUGGCAAGAUGUAGAACACUAGUGUAAUAGGAAAAGCCACAAGCAACCCAAAUAUAACCCUACAACAAAGCAAAGCAAAUCAUACUCAAUUAGUAAGGAACAUUAAUAAAGAAUGCAAAUUGAACAAAAUAAUAAUAAGCAAAUACAAACUUUAGCUUUGAAAUUACAUGUACGUUUAGUUCAUUCAUAAACUUAUAAAAUUGUCAAUUCUAUCCAAAAUUACAAUACAAAUUCUACAAAACUUCACAAGGCACGUUAAUUAACAAUGCAAAUUGAACAAAAUUUAACAAGUAUACAAAAUUUGGCAGUGAAACUACAUGCACAUGUGCCAAAGAAUCUAACUUUCUGUGUAUUUCACAAAUAGAGAAGGGUUUUCUCAACAACCCAUCACAAAUAUGGGAAAAAUAAAUUUAGCAACUAGUGCAAAUGUUUCUUGAUAAUCAACUCCAUAGGUCUGAGUAAACCGCCUAGCAAGCAAUCUGUCCUUGAACCUUUAAACACUACCAACAGCUUGACAAUUCACCGUGUACAUCCACCUAUUUGUUUAUUCUUUAGGGGCCCAACUGCCCCAUGUGCAAUUUUCACAACUACAAAAACUGUAUUACUUGAUGUUUUUUAACAGUCAAGUGGUGUAGUUGACGUUUUUAAAAAUGUUAAGUAGUCCAAUGUGAAGAAUAAGAGAAAUAUUUUUGACAGGGUAUAAGUGUCAAGAUGAAAUUUACUCGAUAUGUUGUAGAUGACAAGUACAUGAGAUCGGUUGACUUGGUUUAUGUGUCAAGUAUUUAAAUUCUUGACGUUUACUAUUGAUCAAGAAUAUUUAAAUCUUGACAGUUAUUUUCUAUCAAAUGGAAUUUCUUCUUGACACUAAAAAAUUGGCAACUAAAUUAAUAAUUAAUAUGUUUUGCACAUCAAGUUUUUUUUUAGUUGUACAAUUUGAAAUACCUAUAUAAUUGCAUCUGUUUUCACCUCUUCUGAAGUCCAACAAUGUUAUAAAAUGAUUUGAGGAAUCCAGACAACAAAUAAGUAAAAAUUUGGGUUUUCCCUCAAUCUAGCUAAACAACACAUGCUUUGGGUUUCAUCUUUAUGGUCACAUGUGUUGGGUUUAAAUUCUAUUAUAUUUGAUUCCUCUAUUCCAAAAUGUUAUGAAUUGUAACUUCGAAACUUAGUGACUAAAUUGAAACCAAACUUCAAAAUUAUCAUAAGAUCAAAAACACUAUCAACUAUCAUGAGAGAAAACCUGAAAAUAAUGUGAAUAUUCAAUAAUAAAUGUUAAUCAAAAUUAUCAACGGAACUACAAUAAAAAAAAUGUCUUAGAAUUUAAUCAUUUAUUAAACUAAUGAAAGUGAGAUAACUAAGAAACAGUAAAUUAUUACUAAGUUCUAUUAAAUACAUUUCUACCCCAUAAAAAUUAUCAUACCUACCUUGUUCCCACCAUCAUUGAAGCUUCUAGCAAAAGACUUGAGUGGUGAUCAAGGCUCUAUGCUCCAACAUAGGCCAAGUACUCCUAGACAUCAGCACCAUUGUGUCCAAAUCUGCAACAAUCAAUCUCACAACGUAAGCUAUUUUAAUUAUUCACACACAGAACAAAACAAUCAACCAGUGAGAGAAAGAACACAAAUACAUAAAGUGUUUUCAAUAAACUCAAGAAAACAACCAAAGUUCACAGCAGUGAAGUUACAGAUCCAAAGAACAGUUCAUCCAAAUUGGAACUAAGCAAAGAACAGUUUGAGAAACCAAGGAAAAAUAAAAUCUUUCACUAAAACCAAAGCAACUCACCAACCACCAAAUUAGAAGUCAAACUCAUAAAUCAACAACCACAUAAUGGUUAUCCAUAAUUAUCAAAAGAAAAUAAAAGGAAGAGACUGAUGGUGACUGCCAAAAUCUCUCAUCGGCCGCCAAUUGCAAAACAGAGAUUCAAUCUAGAAAUGAAGAAACAACGAUUGUAUACCACGAGAAAUAGGGAAAGGAUACAGAGAUAAUACAUGGACAAUCCAUACACACAAAGACCAUAUAUAAAAACAAGAGUAAACCCAAAAUCCCAAGUCCCCAAGUCUAUGAAAGAAAUUAUUCUCCUAACAAGGGAAAUAAUAUCUAAAAUCCUUCCCAAUCCAAAAAUAAUCAACCAAUAUCUCCGCAGUGAAAACACUUCCCAAAAGCUCGUUGAAACCUCAACUUCUGCUGGACAGCACUUCGAAACACCUCAGAAAGUACAACCUAACCUCCAAACACCAUGUGUAAGCAUGUAUUAAUACUUAAUGGGUUAUCAAGCAAACCCAUGUGGCAUUGAAUUAUUAUCUAGCCCACAACUUUCAUCAGACCACAAUAGUUGUAUGCCACUUAAUAACUACUACAUAUAACUUCAAGAAUCUUUUCUCUUGUACUUACAAUAGUGAAAAAUUAUCAGCUACAUUGUGGCGGCUCAACAGAAUAAUUUCUCAAUAAACACCAACUACCUUUGUUACAUUACAAUAAAGCUAAAGGAAUCCACCCAUUAGAUCAUAAAAAUGACCAAUGUUACAAAGAAUGAGGCAUACAAUGAAAGAAAGGAAAUCAGCUUCUGAAGAAAAUAGAGGCAGAAAUGAAAAAGAAUGAUUAUCCAAAACAGCCAUUCUUGCUAUGGAGUUUGAGUCUCGGUCCCUUGUACUUGGUCAACUCCAAAACCACAUGCCACAAACCUAAUCUUGUAAACGAAUUGUCAUUUGUGGCGAGCACUAAGUAAACAAACAUCCAGAGCCACACAAACCCCUCUCUGCCUUAACCUGUUGCAGACCGAAUUAACCUCAACUAUGUCUACAUAGCUAGACAGUUUGGGAAGUCAACAACCAAAUUUCAUGACAAGUGAACCUAGGGAAGCAAUGUGCUCAUUUCCAACACAUACCACGACCUCCUAACAACCUAUGUUUUAGGUUUUUCAUCCUCAUCCUCUGCCCACGAUCACCCCCACCCAAUCAUGUAUAUGAGGUCAAUUCCCAAUUUAAGUUAUGCAAUCUAAACAGUUCUGCCAAGACAACUUGACUAAUAUUUGUGGUUCAACUUGUGUUGCCCAAUGUGUUGGGUACCUGGAUUAAAGAAAGUAGCUUGAUUUUGAAAAGAAAGUUAAUAUAUGUUUCUAAAACAGAGCCAUGAAGAAAUUCAAUACAAAAAUCUCUACCCUUGUAAUCUACUAGAUUAAUCUAAAGAGCUGUUCUGAUUUGAAACGGGCGACGGAGUUGCUGACGCUGACGAACGGAACAACGCAAGGGCGGCGGACUAACAACUGAGGCGAGAGAUGACGACGGCAGCAGCGAGAGACGGUGCUGCUGCGUGAAGGAGAAUGAGCGCCAGCGAGGGCCGUAAAGAUGCUGGAGAGAAAAAGAUUGCCUUUGAGAUUUUAGGAAGAAAUCAGGGUUUUAACUUCCAAGAUUGUUGAAGGUUUGGGCAAAGAUUAUGUAAAGUAUAAUAAACUCCAUUAGAUACAACUCAAAUUAAAUAAUUUAUACUCAAACACGAAAUGUUUGAGGUGGGGAUUUAGGGGAUUAGGAAAAGGUUUAUGAUCAAAAUAUUGUUUGGACCAAGAGUUUGCAUUUAAUAGUCAGCUUCCUACUUCAUCUCAUCGUAAUACUAGACUCAUAACCUUUCUCCCAAACGCAUAUUAUCACAAUACUACAACAAUAAUUCUUCUCACAAACACAUAUUAUCAUAAUACUGUCAUUCAUAUUCUUUCUCCCAAACACAUAUUACUAUAACACUAUCAAUAAUAACUAUAACUUCCAAACACAUAUUAUCAUAACACUACUAUUCAUAUUCCUACUAUUCAUCAUCAUUCUCAUCUAAACGAGUUCUGCAUUAUGAACUAUGUAUCACGCAUAUGACUUAUAGAUGUGCUUUAAAAACAUAGGGUGAAAUGAAGAAAUAUAAUAUGAAAAGAGAAUCGGAUUCUAUUUGUACUGUAUCUGAGAUGAAUCUUGGCCAUUCCCGCCUUUCAACUCCCCUAGACUAGACUUUUGGGUCUUAUAAGCAACUAAUUGAAACUUUCAAAUAUGUAUAAAAUAUUCU